rnacentral:lncRNA from 1 species
ACUGGGAAAAGAAUAAAACUUUCUUGGACAGAAAGCUUCUGCCGCAAUCGCACUUACUUGGAAACGCGGUUUCUCACAAAACCCAACUUGGGAUUAGUCUGAACCUCCAAGUUUCGGUUUGCUAACUCGGAGGAUGACUCAGUUUCUGCACAUUGCCCGAAGACGCGAGUUCCGAGCAAUGGCGGAAGAAGAAAGAUUCACGGUUGUCUGGUAGUAACGCGCGUUUUGGAUCCGACGUACAAUGUUUGUGUGUGUGUUUUUUCCGGAACCCGAGAGCCGACACUGAUUCGUUCGUUUUUUGUUAAAAAAAAAAAAACAGAGUAUAAUAAAACAUGGUGGUGUGUGCGAGAUGAUGUGUUUAUAUACAGAAUAUAUUUUCUGAUUUUACCCGAAAUUAUUAUUUCCUUACAAAUGUAUCCCUUUCUUUCUUUUGAAGGCACACGAUACCACACAUUGGCAUGAAAUAAAAAUAAACAAUAUCUCUAUCUCUAGGAGUAAAUUCACAACAACAGUAUAUAUAAAAUUUGUAAACCCAUUGAAUUUCUGAAGUUUUUCAUAAUUUUUUUUAUUUCGAUAGCUAUUUCAUAUACAAUAGCUUUGAUAGACUAUAUUUUUUUUUUUGAUAGAAUAUAUUACUUUAAAUAAUAAUCAUAAUUAUAAAUUAUGAAAUAUCAGUUUCAGUUUUUGAGAUUUAUGUAUCAGUUUAAAUUUUGAGAUUUAUGUUAUUAUAAAUGCAUAAAUAUCUCAAAUAUCUGUAACGUUGUUUCAAAACAGUUUUGUUUUUAUAAACUUUAAGAUAAAAAACUACAAUGAUUUUAAGAAUAUACAAAUACGUUAUGAUUUUAACUUAUCAUUAAAAUUUGCAAAUAUUAAGUACAUUAAGGUUUUAACUUAUCAUUAAAAUAUAAAAAUUUCAAAAUCCUGACAGUUUAUUAAAUGACAUCUGGUUUUAUUGAUUACUUGGUCCAAAAAAAAACAUUGAUGAUUGUGUUGGGUUAGCUAACAGAUACAAAAUAUAAGGGGUAAUAAAGAUUAACAUAAAAAUAGGGUCCGUGAAGAAGACUUCCAUUAGUAGUUGACACUUGACAGGCAAAAAAAUAAUGUUUUCGGUUAAAAGUGGGUUGGAUAGGUUCCGAACCGAAUGUCGGGGGUGGGUGACGUGUUCCGGUCGGACCGGUAAUGGUGUUGUUGAAAUGUAACGAAUCUUAUCAGCUUCCAAAUUACGCGUUCCGCAGCAACCAACGGUUGACGAUUUGCUCAGGAACAAGGACUGUUUUGUCUUUUCAUUUUUAAAAUGGGAUUGUGUUUUCUAUAUGCGACCUCACGGUAGCUUCAGUGAUCGCAGCUUUUAUGUAUUCUAUUUGAUCUUAUUCUUUUUUUUUUGGGCAACUGAGAUUUCAUUAAAUAAAGGGUUCAAGAGUUACACAGAGCUUGGGCCAGAAAGCAAGCAAGCCUUAGCGUUUAAGUCCGCAAGCCCAUUUGACUCUCGUUUAAUGAAAGAAAAGUGACAAACAGUAAAAGACGAUGAAGAGAUCACGGCGAUGUCCGAAAGUACUCCAUAGAGCUCGGUCGGAAACCGUCCAGAUGAUAUAGCUCCGAUGAGCACUUGUGAAUCUGAUCUUAGCCAGAUGAAUUUGUAGUCGAGCUCCGCCGCGUGAAGAAGAGCACUCCUGAUUGCCAAGGCUUCCGCCAUGCAUGCCGAAGAGACGUGUUUUUGGAACAGAGAACCUUGAUUCAGUUCUCGCCCUUCGUUAUCAGCGAAGAUCCAAGCUAAUCCCGCGUUUCCCGAGUCCGAUCUCCAUGCGGCAUCUGUAUUACAGCAGAGUGUGAGAGGAUGGAGCGACGGUGGGGGAGAGAGAUGAGCGAUGGAUGAUGGGAUCGCAGUAGGUGUUUCGAUUUGCCCCUGUGCUUGUUCCCACUCCCUGAUGGCUUUAAGGGACUUGAGGAAGAUCUCACUUGGUGAUGAUGAUCUGUUCUCAAAAAUAUAUUGAUUCCUCGAUGUCCAUAGGAACCAACAAAUCCACGGUAGACAGUUGCUUGUGUGACCAUAUGGGGGAAGUGAAGUCCAGCCUUUGGAGAGGAUGAGGGCCUCCUUUAGAGAAGUUAUCUCAAUGGCGUCGAAACGCUGCGCCCAUGGGCCUAUGCUCCAUACAGCUUGCGCAAAGGAACAAUGAAAUAGGAGGUGGAUCGUCGUCUCUGGUUCACCGCAGCGACAGCAGCUUGGGGGCACUUGAAUACCUCGCCUUAGUAGAUUUUCAGCCGUUGGUAAUGCAUUCUGACACGCUUUCCAUAGAAACAUUUUGAUCUUUGGUAGUAGCUUGGGGGACCAAAUGCAUUUGUGCCAAUUCCAGUCAUCAGUCUCUCUGUCAUUUCCAUUAUUCAAGAGUAAUGCAGUCGAUUGAACUUUUGAUGCUUGCAGGGAGAGGUAACCUGAUUUUGCAGUGUAAUCACCAGACUUAUGGAAGUUCCAUUUGUAAGAGUCACGGGUUCCUCGUAUGCUUGGUCGUAUGCUGACGAUGUGGGAAGCAAGAUCAGGUAAUAGAUUAAGCACUUUCGCUGUAUUCCAUUCUUUAGUUUCUCUGGAUAAGAGGUCUGCCACUAAAAGAUCUUGGUCAUUUUCCUGCAAUGGUCCCAGCGGUUUCAGGGAUGAGUUUGGGUCUAUCCACGCGUCUUUCCACACACUCGUAGAUUCACCGUCGCCUAUGGCUUUCCCUAAGUGGUUGAUGAGGAGGUCCCUUCCCUUAAGAAUCCCUUCCAGCCGUGGGAAGCAGAAGGGGCAGCUGCCACUGUGAGGAAAGAGCAAGAGGUGCAAUACUUCCCAAUCAAAAUUCGCGCAAGAAGGCAGUCUGGUUUCGUGAUUAGCCUCCACGCUAACUUUCCUAGGAGUGCCUGAUUGAAAGCUUGAAUAUCACGGAAACCGAGACCUCCCAAGCCUUUAGGCAGGGUGAGUGUAUCCCAAGCCACCCAGCAAAUCUUUUUUACUCCAUGUUCCGAGUCCCACCAGAAUCUGGUUAACACAGAUUGGAUGCGUUUACAUAAACUGAUAGGUAGUUCGAAGCAAGUCAUCGCGAAUGUGGGAACUGAAGAUAGAACCGCUUGCAACAUAGUAGCUUUCCCUGCCAUGGAUAGGAACCGAGUGGAAUAGUGUAGAGCUCGUUGUUGCAUUCUGUCAACAAUGGAGGAGAACAGGUCCUUCUUUUUGCGGCCAAAGUGUUCCGGGAGUCCAAGGUAUUUGCCAACUCCUCCCUCUUUCUCGAUCUUAAGAUGUUGUUUCACUCUCAGUCUAACAUCUUGUGAGGUCUUGGCAGAGAAAGAGAUUGAAGAUUUUGCCAAGUUUAUCAUCUGACCCGAAGCUGCUUCAUAGCUCUGCAGAAUAGUCAUGAGCGUCAAGCAACUUUGAGGAUCUGUUUUAGUAAAAAACAUGGUAUCAUCCGCAAAUAGCAGGUGAUUUAUUCUUGGACUGUUUCUAGAGACCCUCAAUCCCGCCAUUGUACCAUUGACUUGAGCUUUCUUGCAGAGGCCAGAGAGGACUUCACCACAUAAGAUAAAAAUAUAGGGAGACAGGGGAUCUCCCUGUCUAAUCCCACGCUGAGGAGAAACACAGCCCGCGACUUCGUUGUUGAUGAGGAAAGCAUAGGAUACUGUGGUUAUGCACUGCAUUACGAGAUGAAUCCAUGUAAGAUCAAACCCCAACUUUUCCAUAACUGCUUGAAUGAAGGUCCAUUCAAGCCUAUCGUACGCUUUACUAAUGUCUGUUUUCACAGCCAUAGAGCAGUGGACAGUAGCUUCAGAGGUCUUGAGAUAGUGCAACAUCUCGUGAGUGAUGAGCACGUUGUCGGAGAUAGCUCUGUCAGGUAUGAACGCAGACUGGGUCUCUGAAAUAAUCUCUUGAAGAACCGGCUUUAGGCGCAGAGAUAGGAGUUUAGAUAUUACUUUGUAGUAGACAUUACAAAGGGCGAUGGGCCUAUAGUCCGAGACUUGUUUAGGGCUAUGUAUUUUGGGAAUUAGUCGAAUGUGUGUGCUGUUAAUAGAACAGGGCAGACUUCCUGUAGAGAAGAAGCACUGAAUCUCUCUUAUUAUUGCAGGACCUACUGCACACCAAUUUGACUGGAAGAAGCUUGCAGAAAAGCCAUCGGGGCCUGGGGCUUUGUCCGGGUGAAUCCCAAAUAAGGCUGCUUUCACCUCCGCAGCUGAGGGUAUAGCCGUGAGCCUUUCAUUUGUCGACGCGGAGAUACACGGAGUUAAGGCUCUGUUUACUACUUCAGCGGCUGAAGGUGAUGAGGAGGUAAAGAUUCCCUGGAAAUACUUUGAUAUAACAUCUAUGAUCUGCUCUUCCUCAAAGACAGGAGUACCAUCAGAAUCUUCAAUAGCUGUAAGCCUGUUGCGGGCUCGUCGACUCUUGGUGGAAGCGUGAAAAAACCCAGUGUUUUUGUCUCCAAGAGUCAACCAAAGUUGGCGGCUUCUCUGCUUCCAAAACUCCUCCUCCGCUUUGUAGGCUUUGAGGAGAUUCUGGUUUAUCAUCGAAAUAAGAGAAUCAUCUGCUAUAGUCAGCGACAUUGCGGCAUCAAGAUCUCUGCGUAACUCUUCAAUGGCUUUCUGACUGUUAACAUAAUUUGUUCUGCUCCAUGAGGCUAUGGCUUGUCUACAGUUUGAUAUCCUUUGAGCCACACUGAGGCGUGAGUUUUCUUUCCACACUCUAUCAACUAGAGCUUUAAUCUCAUCAUUGUCUCUGAGUCUCCUAUCAUACCGGAAUAGUCGUUGAGGUUUUUUCCUUUUGCUGUCAAAGGUAGAGAGGAUUGGCCUAUGAUCAGAGCCUUCGAAAGGGAGGUAGUGGGAGCGUCCAUUUGGGAAGAGGUCCAUCCAGGAACUAUUAGCCAUUGCUCUGUCCAGCCGGCAGUGCACCAGGUGUGUAUGUCGCUUUCCUCUCCAUGAAAGAAAAUUACCAGUGUGCUUCAGAUCAAAGAGAUCACACACGGAGAGAAAGGAACGAAAGGCGCAAAAAGAGCUUUCAGGUCUCUCUCUACCCCCAGACUUUUCUGUGUUGUUGGUGAUUUCAUUGAAAUCCCCCGUAAUGAACCAUGGUUGAUCACGGGAAGCUGAGAUGCUUGAGAGCUGAUCCCACACUGCUUGUCUGUUUUGGGUUUCAAGGGCUCCAUAUAUAAAGGUACCGUUGAAGGAGGAGUUUUUGAAACUGAUCUGAGUGUCAAUGAAGUGAGGCGUCGACGUCAGGACCUGGAUGUCGAUCCCUUGCUUCCAUAACAGCGCCAGGCCACCAGCGCUAGUGUCAGAAGGAGAGACAAGAAAAUGGAAUUCCAUAUGGAGAGGUUCCAGUUCUGAGAGGACAUUAGCAUCGACGUUCUUAGUUUCAGAUAGAAAAAUUAUAUCCGGAGAACACUUUGAGGACAAGUCUUUGAGCCUUUGGACUGUCUGGGGGUUCCCGAUCCCACAACAGUUCCAGCUCAAAACUACUAAGGAAGAGGAGGACGGGGGAUGUGAAAAUCCUGCUGGUGAUUUCCUGAUCCCGAUGGAGCUUGGCUUUGUCCGUUUCGUGAGCCAGGAAGGCUCCUAGGUGUUGCCCGUGCUUGAGAUUGGAUUGGAGAAGCAAACGGAAACCCAUGUCUAGCAGGUGAGGCGUGGACCAAAUUUCUUUUCCUAGAGUUAGCUCCAGGAAGAUAUCGCGGGCUUGGUCCAACUUUCUUUCUUCUCUUCUUUGCACCGAGUGUAUCAUGUGUUACACUUGCAGGACGGUCUUGUAUCACCGGGGGAACUGCAUUACUUUCACCCUCUGGUAUUUCUAGUCUGUUAAAAACAGAGGUGGGUGGUGUAUUUGAGGUGGGUGAGGCCAGUCUCUCAAAGACAGUAGGUGGUCGCUUGAUAGUCUCCUCUCUAGAGAGUUUAGAGGUAGCUGCUGCUAUAAUUCCUGCUGCAGUUGUCGCCAUAAGAUUCUCCUCUUCUCCCAGUAAAACCCGCUGACGUCUCGCGGCGCUUUCAGCUUGAUCUGCCACAUUAGUAUAUUGAUAUGUAACUUCUCUUAGGUCUGCAAGCACUUCAUCUGUGGUGGGAAUUGUACGCGACUGCGGAAAAUCACACAUUGCCAAGUUUCUGCCUAGCGGCUGUCUACAAGCCUCAUUGAUUUCCGGUUCCUCGCGCGGAGGGGGUGAGCUAUCAGUGUGGAGUCUUUGGUCCUCAGCAGGUGUUUUGGUGGGGGUCUUAGCUCUCCAUUGUAGAUGGGGUUCAUGAUCAAAAUCCCUCACUGCACCCCGGGGAGCUCUGUUCUGAGCUCUUACUGGCUGACGGUAAGUGUAUCCCUCCUUUGUUGGAAUUAGUUUGUUUUUGAGUGGUUGUCCUCGCAGCUCUGGUGGGGGGAUUCUACUCCCGAAAGGCCAUCCAUGUCUGUCUAUCCUCUGGUGGAAAGGUUCCUUAGCUGAGACCACGCGUGGUGGACGAGAUGGGGAGUUGUAGUUCUGAUACGCACGUCUUGACGUAGGAGAUACCGCGGGUAUAGCUGUCUCUUCAUCCCUUUUUGAGUCUUCACAUGAUGACAGGUGGGGCUUUGAAAACCUUGGACAGUUUUUGUCUUCGUGUGUUAGCAUGAAGCAUUUGGAGCAGUGAGAUUUGAGCUCUUCAUAUUCCAGUACGACAGUCAGAUCUUCACCUGAGUCGAACUCAAUCAGAGGGUCCAUAAUCAGAGGUUUGAGGCCAUCAAUCAAAACUCUAACCCUUGCAGACGUCUUCGAGAUGUGAUACCCUUCCAGAUGACCUAGCUCAUGACCUAUUUUAGUUAUGACCUUUUCAUGCCAGAAGUGUAGAGGCAGUCCUUGGAGGCGGACCCAAAAAGGGAUUUGGGAGGGGAAGGUUGGAGAAAUGACCGGUUCCCAACGUUGGAGGAUAACCAUCCAAUGAUGGUAGUGGUAUGGUCUGUUUGCUAGAACUUCCUUCAAAUCUUCUUCUAGGUCAAAUCUGAACUGAAAGCAGUUCAGACCAAGAUCUGCUCCGGUGACUUUGCCUUUAAGGGACCAGUUUCUUGGGAGAGAGGUCAUAAGGGAUCCUAUCGGUUGUUCUCUGGCAUUUGUGACCCUUCCAAUGAGAGUAAGGGCAUUAUCUUUUAUCAACGCCGAAGUAUCGAUCUCUGGUGCUCGGAUACGUUUCCGCACUGGCUCUCCCGCUAGCGGUGCAAGACUUUUGCCUUUCUCAGAUGCUGUGAAUCUUCUGGAGUCCAUGGCUGAGGGGAAGUUUCGGUCGUCGGGAGAAAUGAGUGACUGUGAGGACCAAGGAAGAAGAUGUAGGAGAUCUGCUGUAGAAGCUGCUGUCGAAAGGACUGUCGAAGUUGCUGUCUGAGGAGUAACCGUCGACCCAGAGCAGCAGUGCCACAAUCCGAGACUCUCUGGCUUUACACCAGAGGGAGGAGCUCUGGUGGUUAGAUGCCGGAAGCCGGUGGUCUCUGAAUCGGAGCUUAUUCUUAUUCAUUUGAUUCACGUCAUUUCUGUCAAAGAUGUACCAGUUAAGUCAAAAUCUUCCGGAAUAGUUAGCUAAGUAUUUUACCAUAAAAUACAUCAAUCAACAAACAAAAGUUUUUUACUCUAAAAUGAAUAAAAGACAAAUCAAGAAAAAGUAAUGGGAAAAAGAAAGAAGCAUCUAUCUUUUCGAAAAUAUUAUUCGCCAGAAUAAUUUACGGUCAUGAGUAGUAAAAGGUUAGCCUUUUCAAGAAACACAGCUGGUUUUAUUAAAAUAAAUCAGAAAUCAACCGAAAAUUGGUAAGACAAUACGAUUGGUGGACAUGGUUUCAAUUUAAAACGUUGUGAUACAUGCAUUAGUUAAAUAGAAGUAAGCAAAACAAGGACCAAAGUGAAUGUAACAGUUUCACCAAAAAAAAGUGAAUGUAACAGCUAAACAACUAAGACAAUUUGGUCCAUCCGAACCUCAAAAGGGAACUAAGGUUAUUCUUUUCGAAGCUUAUAUUAUCUCCUAAAGCUAAAUCUAUAACAUUUACUAACAAAAGCUCGUUAGGUCUGAAAGAAAUGCUUCAAACAUAUUUAGACGUUAUUUAUUAAUGUCAAAUCUCUUAUGGAGUUUAUAACAACCUGCUGAAUUAAGUAAGAUAUACAACUCUACCUAUCUCACCAAGAAAAAAAACAAUCAUCAUUAUUUUAAUAGACAAUAAUUCACUAAUUAUUCCAAAUCUGAUAAAUUUAUAUAUCAACAUGAUAGUUGGUAAUAACCCAAACAAAAAAAAUAUUAACUUUGUAUAAAGCUGGUAUAGAAGUAGUAUAGCCGACACUUAAAACUAUGUUUUCUGAUGACAUGAAAUUAUGUCUUCUGACAUUAAUAUUUUGAAACGACCAAUCAAGAAAUACAAUCAUACUUCUAAAUUAUUAUUUUUUUCUAAGAAAACUUUAUUUGUUUUCAUAAAACCCUUUAGUUAAACGUUAAUUUUCAAAUAACUUUCAAAUAAUAUUUAGGGUCGACACAAUGAAACCAUUGCGUAAAAUAUUCUCAAAACUAAUGUUCUUUACUAUAUAUUUUAUAGAUAUAUUGGAACAUAGUAGAGCAAUUAAUACAUUUGUUCGGCGACAUCAGAGAAUGUAUUCAGUUCUAUAACAUGCCAUAUGGUUAUGGUCCAUGUAGCAUUGUCAAUGAUUAAGUGGAAGCAACGAGCCUCAUUCAAAUCUUGAUUUGUUUGAUAACGAAUACAUUAUAUUGAGUAAAAUUAAUUGGAUGUGAUAACCAAAAGGUUGCUACAUGUUUCCAUAUAUAUAUAUACUAGAUAUGAGUCUGUGCGUUACAACGAAUUUUGUUUGAUGUUUUAAUUUAGUAAAAAAAAUAAAAAGUUCAGUUUAUAAAAAGUAAUAAAUCAUAUUAUUAUACUCUUAAGAUUGUUUUUGAUAUGUUGUGUGAGACUUAUUUUAUAAUUAAGAACUCGUUUUUACACAUAAAUUCCAGUUAAUAUUUGUAUUUUAAGAAUUCGUUUUACACAUAAUUCUGGUUAAUAUUUGUAUUUUAUAAUCAUGGUGCAUAUGUGAAUUUUUAUCAACUUUAUAUUUAGUGCUAGAGAAAACACUCAUACCUAUAAAUUUAAACACAAUCCAACCCGAAUUAAAAAAAUGAAAAAAAAUUGAAAGUUAAAUAAAGCCAAUCGAGUCAAUGACAACAUCAUACACUUUCUUAUGUAAUAGUUUAAUAUUUUAUUAAACUUAUCUAUUGCUUAAUAACUUUAUUAAUUCAUUAUUUCUUAAUGAUAUAUUUCCAUGAUAACAUUUUAAUUAAAAAUGAAGUAGAAAAAUAUUACGUAGUCAAAACAAAAAAUGUAAUAAGAUGACAAUGAAACUUGAUUUUUUUUUUUGAAAAAAAAAUAUAAAAUCAUUUACGGUGUCAAUAAUAAUAAUUUAUUUUUUAUGACCAAUCAUGAAAAUAUAUAUCAAAAAUGAGUUUGAUUUUCGUAUGAUCAAACCUAUGAAUUAAUUCCGUGAGACCAAACACAUAUAAAUAGCAAUCAUAACGACAUUCUAUUUUUUUUGUUAAUUAAAUAGUUUUAACAUCAUACUUGUCAUCAAAUUAUUUAUUUUUUAAAAUAUUAUUAAAAAGUUUAAAACUGUAUUUUGUUAGGAUUUUUUAAAAAGGGCUCCUUUUCAUUUACAAUUAAAUUAUAUAUAAUUAUCCUUCGUUGUUUUACUUUUCGUUUUUGUUUUAUAUAUUUUUUAAAUUUCAAUAUUUUAUUUUACAAUUUUCUUUGUUUAGUAUCUUUAAAAACGAAAAUUAUAUUUUUCAAACAAAAAAAAAGAAAACGUACUUUCAAACAACUUUUUACAAUUAUUUUCCGUUGUUUAGGAUUUCUAAAAAAUGAAAUAGUAUCCAAUAAUUUUAACAAUAUCUAAUUGUGUUAUAGUAAUUGUCUUUUUCUAAAAUCUUAAAAAAUCUUAAAAUAAUAUUUUUGUAAUAAUAACUUUUAUUUUCUAAAUCUCUUUUAAAUCCUAAAAAAAGAGAUAUCAUAUUUUUGACACAUGUCAUAAUCUUAAAAAAUUUAUUGACACAUGUCGCGAUCAUGUUAAUUAGCAACUUCGAAGAACCAAGCUUUAUAUAAUAAGAUUACAUUGGUUAAGCAAAAGAAAACCAAACCGCUAUGAUUUAAUAUUAAACCGAUAUUCUAUCUAAUACAUUAUGUUUUUACCAGGAUUGCCAUUAACCGUUCCAAAAAUUUGUCUCAGAUUCGACACGGUUUCAGUCAAUUGCCGCAACAUCUCCAUGACACCUCAUCUCUUCGUCCCCAAAUCUACUGUGCAAUAGUGUGGAUUCGCCAGAUUUGCUCGGUACUAUGUUACCGUUGUGUUUCCAUCACACUACGCCAUUUUAAGCAUCGACAGAUCUUCAUAGAGUUGGUUCUACGGUCCUCCCAUCCAUAAUACUCAAAAAGGAUUUUCAAUUUUCUUUCUCCAAAACAGAUUCAGUGACUUCUGUAGCUCAAAUGGUCAAUAUUGCUCUUUUCGUUUCUAAAUAUAAGAUAAUUAUGUUAAAACACACAUAUUAAAAAAAUUAUUUUUUAUCUAAAAUAUUAUUAAAAUUUUAAAUUAAUGGCAUUUACCAAUUACAAAAUAGAUACUAAAAUAUGAUUUGUUAUACAGUUUUUAAUAAAAUAAAAGUUACCUAUAAAAAUAAAAACGUUUUAUAUAUUUGAAACAUCAAAAAAGCAUUCUACAUUUAUGAAUAUAGUACUAAGUUUCUAACUAACGAAACUAAUCACAGUUUUAUAAGUAAUUUUAAUCAGCGGGAGGAUCGAGUCAUAUGAUUGGAGGAUGAGCGCUUGGAUGAUACGUGGCGGUGGAUGGAGUGAUGGAAACACGUGAUUGGCGGUGGGAUUCUUCUUGCAUGUGUCCCAACAGCUGUUGAGCUAGUCUUUAGUUAUAAACUUACAAAGUAAUACAGUACAUUCUACAAUUCGACAUGGACUGGAUGUAUAUUUGCGUUCGUGUUUAGUUUCACCUCCACGCUCAUAGCCGGCGCGUGUGUUCCAUUUCCACCAGAUCACUGGAGUUAGGCGGUAGAUAACGACGGGAACGAACGAAGCUGAGAAGCCAACAUUACAAAUUUACUAAUCACGUUAUAACUUCUACAGUUUCACGGUUCAAAAAUAUUUCUUCAAUUUUACACUGUCUUGCGGCCAGUAACCUUAAAACAAAACAAAAAAAAAACGAUGAGGAAAAUAGAAAAAUAAGAAUGAAAAUUAGUAUUUAAAUCAACUCGAAAAUUUGACGAUGAACUCAAACUGCGAAGACAACUAAAAAACUGACAAAUUAUAAGUGUUUACCUAAACUAGAUUACGGAUCUCUAUCUUGUGCUCUUCUCAUAUGUAUUUGUAAGAGCUCAUUGCUAAGUCGUUUUGAGAUCUUUGCCUCCUAGCAGUUUUUUUUGUCUUGUUCACCUAGCAGCUUAGCUUCUACAAAUUCAGACUCGCUCGUUAUAAUUCUCUAACAAGAUUUCAUGUAAAAGUUGCUCCAAAAAGUAUAGUAAUAAAUGAAGAAACAAGAAAUCUUGAAAGGUAAAUGCUGUCAACUAGUGACUAUCAUGUGGUUGGCAUAUCAACACAAAUUUUAAAGUGUAUAAUAAUCUUUUAUACGUACGAUAAUGUGUUUCAAUCCAACAUUUUUUUUAAAAAAAAUUCAAACUUCAUGAGUUUUUUUUUUCUUUUGGAUAACAUAAGCUAUUAACAUCAUCUUGACUGGUAUACAAAAAGAACCACUUGAAAAUUAUAAUUAUUUUAUAGUUUAUCAUAAAUAUUUUAUGAAUUUUCAUUUGAAAACUUCUUGUACUUUUUAAUGUAAUGAUAUUCUUUUGAAAAUCUUUAAGAGAGAUUCUCUAAAUAGUUUGAUAUGGAGGUGAUCCAAACAUCUGAAAGCCAGUGUUAACAAAAAAAAAUCAAAAAUUUCAAUAGUACCUACAACGACUAGUAUAUUUUUUUUUUGAAUUACUGAAUUUUUAGUUUUUUAUAAUAAACUAAAACUAUAUAUUUUUUAUUUUUUUUAAAAAAUAAUUAAACCAUAACUAUAUGAAAUAACAUAAUAGUGCAAUGAUAUAUAGAAUUUUAUAUUUUAGACAAAAUAUUUGAUUGUCCAUAUAAUGAUAAUAUUUAUUUCCCAAAUUCUUGGUGAAAGAGAUAUAUAAUCACAGAGAACCUGUUUACUUUUCUGUAAAUCAAAGCUUGCAUUAAGAAAUCAUGUUUGGUAUAUAGAGAGAGCCUGUUUGGUAACAGAGUCUGCCCUACAAUUAUCCAGUCUAGGAAUAAACUUAAACUUAACAGAAUUAAACAGAAGGGAAAUUAGGUGAAUAUCGAUGAGAAGAGUCGUGAUCUCAAGGUGUCUACCUUUGGAGUUCACAAGCUUGAUGAGACUCUCAUCAAGAGAACCUGUUUACAACCUCUGCUAGUUUGUGAUUGUCAAUUUUUCGUAAAAUAAUGCUAUUUUAUAUAACAUUUAUUAUCCGGUUAUAGUUUGUUAUAACCACUCAUUGAAGAGAAGAAUUUAAAUACGUCACAUUAAAGUUAAGAUUGACAAUGAGAUGAAAAAGUUUAUCCAACCAAUCUAAUUGGUCUUCAUCUAGUUGAUCACUAGGGCUCAUUUCAAGAUAAGUCUACAAUCCAUAUACCUAGUGGGCUCCAAGAUUGAAAUAUCAUCCACUGUCGUAUGAUCUUAUCAACGAAGCAAGUGGUAAUGAAAAGAUAAUUGUGCAUUAACACUUUGGGGAUAUCGGUUUCUCGUAUAUAUACUGGAGUAACUAAUCUUGUACUCAUGCACACUUAAAUCAAAUUGUGUUUUGUUAACCAAAUGAUUGUAUUCGGCUGAUCAUUUCACUAAUGAUUAGUUGAAUAUUUAUAAGACAUAUAUAUUCCCUCAUUUGAUAUAACUUCUUUUUGUUGGAUUACAUAAUCAUUUUGUCUCCAGAUCCAUUGACCAUAAAAAUUAUCUGCAGUCCUAAGUAUUGGUAUUGUAACCGGUUAGAUAAAUAGUGUCUCACCCCUGGGAAAAUGAGCAUUUUAUCCAUCAAUUAUUUGAAAUCAACAGUUUUAACACUCGAAUAUUGCUCGUGUAUAAUUAUUUCCUAGCUAAUAGUUGACUGCGUGAAGUUAAACAAAAUAGUCAACCGUUAACUGAUGAACAAAAAAUAACGGUUUCGUCAACUUUUUAAUGGUUGAAUAUUUUAACCAUAAUUUUACGCAGUCAAUAAUUAGUUAAGGAAUAAAUAUUAGCAUAUAAUAUUUGAGUAUUUAAUUUACCGAUUGAAAAUACUUGAAGAAUUAAAAUAAUACUAUUUUUAAAAAUCAUAAUUUAAAAUAUUCUUAAGUUAGAUAUAAACCAAUAUACAAAAUUUUUGCAUUUUCAAUGAGAUUUUUGAGUUUUUACAAUGAUGUACAGAAUAAUACAAAUAAUUAUAGUUGCAUCUUAUUGUUGAUGUACUUCAUAUCUAUAAAAUCACUGCUGGAUAAUUUCGUAUUGUUUUGACAAUUAUAUGUUGUACAUUGGAUCUCUACUUUAAACAAUCAUAUGUAAUUAUCUCUACUUUAGACAAUCAUAUAUUGUACAAAAGCAAUACAAUGCAAAUGUAAUUAGAUUAUAUUCAUAUGCUUUUAUAAAUAAAGUAAAAUACUUUUAUGGGAUUAAGUAUCUUGUAAAUUGGUUUAGAUUGAGAAAUUUUUAAAUAGAAAUUAUUUUGAAAAUCAUCUAAAGUGAUUUUAUAAACAUGAAGUACAUCAACCAUAUGAUGUAGCAGUAAUUAUUUUGUAUUAUUUUAUAGGUCUUUGUAAAAACUCAACGAUCUCUUUAUGAAGGAAAUAUCUCGUAUAAUAAUUUUAUUUUACUUGAAAAUAUUUCUAAUUAUGAUUUUUUAUAAAAAUAAUUGAUGUUCGUGAUUUUAAUCUUAUAAGGAACAUAACAAAAAAAUAAGUUUUUAAUUUCUCAACUAUUUUCAGUCGACAAAUUAAAUAGUCAAGUAUUAUAUGCACAUAUUUAUUCCCCAGCUAAUCAUUGACUGCACAAAAUUAUGAUUAAAAUAUUCAACCAUUAAAAAAUUGACGGAAACAUUAUUUUUCCAUUUAUCAGUUAACGGUUGACUAUUUCGUUUUCAAUUUCUCGCAGUCAACUAUUAGUUGGAGAAUAAUUAUGUGUGAUCUCAUUUUCUCCUUACCCCUGUCCAUAUAUAUUUAUAUAUGAGUACUUAUUGCAAAGAAUACUCCAUCAUCAAUAUUUACUUGUAAUCAAAUUUCUUUCUCCCAUUUAUAAAGUUGGGUGUUUUGGCCGAGAUGUGUUUCCGAGCGGAAGAUCAUGUUUUGGAGAAUCACAUAAUGAUAAAUUAGUUUUGUUCAUGCUUAGAUAAUGAUGUUUUUUUUUUUAAACACAGAUAAUGAUGUUCUUAGUUAUAGUUUUUUGGAUAAGUGAUGUUCUUAUAGUUUACUAGUUAUUUGGUCCAACCUGCAUGAUUAUGGUUUUUAUAUAUAAUGCAAGCCGAUAUUGAUCGUGCCGCUAAUUACUAUUGUUAUAAAUCCACUAUAUAUGGAGCAUAAUAGUUAGACUAAUAUAAAAUGAUGUUUUUUUUUUUUGAAACUGAAUAUAAAAUGAUGUUUUGUAUCAUCUUUUUGAAGUUUACAUUGCAUCAUUCUUCACAUAUUGGUACUGUGUUACAAACUUGCCAUAAAGUAGAAUGUAAAUUAAUGAUUUAUAUAACAAAUUGCUAUAUUAUUAUAGAAUGGUCAAAUUAAGUUGGAAGAAAUAUUAUCUCAUUAUCAAGGGCUCGAACCUUAUUUAGAGAAGAAACUAUGGAGUACUUCGUCAAAAAAAAAACUAUGAGUACAAAAAAAUUACAGUAUGGAGUAUUCUCGUAAACAUAACAUUAAUAGUAUGAACAAGAACAUGUUCGCAUUUAAGAAAACAUUAACUGGCCAGCUACGUACCAAUAUUAAAUCGUUACACUAUUAAUUUAAUGAACUUUUAACAAACCAAUUAGACAGGUUUUGUUAAUUGAUUGGUCUAUUAUACAGGGAAAACAUUUUUUUGAGUAGAAUUGCUCCAUGCUCAACACCUAUUGGUCGUUAUAUAUCUACCUCUCAUGAAUGGAUGGAUGAUUAUCCAAUUACUGGUUGAUCCAAUCAGAAAAUAAUACAAUCAAUUACCUAUUGUCUGUAUGAAAACGCUGUUUUCAAGAUACAAAGGGAGUUCAGUUAAAAAAAAAAGAUACUUAGCUAGUACUUUUAUAAAGAUGUGGAAGUUUUAUUGUAAAUCAAAACAUAAGGGUUAACUGGAAAAAAAUGUAUAUGAGGACAAAAUAAUAGCUUUUCGUUAUUUCAAAGAUGUCUGCAAGUUGCAACACUGCAUCUGUGAAUAUGCAUAGGAACAUUCAGAGGCGUGCCUACAGUGUAUUGAAAAAGGCAUUCGCCUUAGGCCCCCGAAUAAUAUUACGUUUUUUAGGGCCCCAAAAUUUAAAAUAAUUUCUAGUUUAGUUGUUUAAACUUAUUUCUAAAAAAAAUUUCUACGAGAAUCGAAUAACUCAAUUUCUAAAUCCAUAUACUUUUUUCUUAUAGGACAUAACAUAACAUAUUUACGUAAUAAAUUUAUUCUUGUAAGUGUUAAACUUAUGUAUUUCGCGAAAGUGAUAUAUCGUAUUAGAAAUUUUUUUUUUUUUAUAGUUAUAUAUAAAUUUAUUUUUAAAACUUGCCUUAGGCCCCUAAAACCCUUCGCACGGCACUGGGAACAUUCCAUGUGGGCUGUUUCCAAGAAACAUCAACUAAAAUUAUUAUGUAAAGCCAGUAAAGCUAAUCACAUGAUUAUUUCAUAAUCAACCAAAAACAUAUAUAUAUACUUUAUGAUCCAACGAUUACACGAGUUGGAUUAUUUUCUCCCCAUUUGGUCAUUUAUUCGACUAGAUCGGCUUAAUUCAUCGUAGAAGAUUUUGGUGUACCAAAUUAAGAUUCUAGGAAAGUAAAAAGUUGUUUAGAAAAUUGGAGUUUUUAGUUUGUUGGCCAAAACUAUAUAACGUUAUGAAGUUUCAGAACUAUAUAUAUAUAUAUAAACACAAUUUUUAGAGUUAAUGUAAUAUUUUUUAAUAUCAAUUUUACAGAAUUUAUCCAAAAUGACAUUAUUUUGAUAAAUUAACGGAUGAGUAAUACUUUUAACUGUCAAUAUAUAUAUUUAAGCACAAUUUUGAGAGUUCAUGUAGUAUUUAAUUUUUUUUUUAAUUUUACAGAAUUUAUUCAAAAUAACGUUGUUUUGAUAAAUUAACGGAUGAUUAACUCAUUUGAUGGUCAAUAUAUAUAUAUACACGAUUUUGAGAAUUUAUCCAAAAUAAUGCCAUUUUGAUAAACUAACACUUUUGAUGUUAAUAUAUAGGCAUAAAUUUGAGAGUUCAUGUAAUAUUUUUAAAUUUUUAGUUUUAUGAAAUCUAUCCAAAAUAACGUCGAUUUGAUAAAUUAAUGGAUUACUAACAUCUUUGAAAGUCAAUAUAUAUAAGUAUAGUUUUUAGAGUUUAUGUAAUACUUUUGCAUUUUUGUUUAGUUCAAUAUAAAAUAUACACUAAUAUAAAAUUUGGGAAUGAAAAAAAUGAAAUAUGUUUGAAUUUUUGUUGAAUUCAGUAGGAAUUACGCAAUACUACAAAAUUCGAAAAAAAAAUUGCACUAUCCGUAAAGUUCAGGUAAUAUAUCACAGAAUCGGUUCAAACUUCAUGUUACGCAGAAACAAAACAAUUUGAAUUUGGUUAUGGGCUGUUAAGGUAGGUUUAAUGGGUCUAUAUACAAUUCCGGUUGACACCAAUUGGGCUUUAGGAUUUAACUACUUUUUGAGUUUCUUAUUAUGCACAACUAUCCUUUAUAUACUAAAGCGCAAGUCGCAUCACCAAUCUAAAUUUGACAUGUGGAAAAUCUAUUUUUUUUAAAAAAAAAUUGAAAAAUACAAAAAAGUAAAACACGUUAUCAAAACAUGGAAGUUUGAAAAUAAGACAAAUAACCAACCUUUUACGACCCAAUCAGGUAAAGCAAUUUUUUAUGAAUUUUUCUUUGCAUCUCCUAUUUUUCUGGAGUUUAAAUUUAAACUAACACAAGUCAUUUAACAAUGCUCUGAUUGACAUGUGUCAUUUACAGUUUCUAAAAAAGGUAACCUUUUGUUUUCAAAAUAAUUAAUUAAAUACAUUCAGAAUUUUCAGCAAUCGGGUAAACCUAAAAAACAAAUAAAACAACCGCAAAAUCCCUUGCAUACUUUUUUGAAACUGCAAAAUCUAAAUCCCUGAAUUUUCUCAGAUCACCACGUCCAAAAGUGAACAUAACAUCAUAACUUCUAUAUCAUGGCAGUUUCAAACUGUUUAUUAUUAUGUAUGUAUAUAUAACUUUCAGUCAACUAAUUUGUUUCUAUUCGCUCUUUUUUUUUUGCCACAGUUUCAUCUUCCUCCUCGAAUUGUUUUUUUCUUUUGGGUUUUGAAUGUAACAAAAGAAAACAGUUACAUGUUUAUAUUUUUCCUAAAAAAAUCCAGAUUCAAUGUUACCUUUUUGUUGGUAAUUGAUUCAAUGUUAUCUUCUUCUUAACUUAAUGCUCUCUUCUUCUUUUUUGCAUGAUUCACAAUAAAGAUACCAAUGGAGUUUUCUCCUGAUUCAGAGCUUAGCUCUUCCAGAAAAAUGGGAAAUCAAAAGCAUUGUCAAGGUAAUAGUAAGUAUAUAUGGCUAUAUUAUAUAACGUAUAUUGGAUGUAGAUUACUUCUUUCUCUUUCUUUGACAAAAAGGAUUUGACUAUUUACAAAUAUGUGUUUCUUUCAUUGGUUUAUGCUUAAGAAGACCAAGGGACAACAGAUUUAGAUGUGUAUACAGAGAUUCCAAACACCAGACCUUAACUCGAUUUGAAAUACUAACGUGAGUAUUUGACAAUUUUUUCAGCUUACCAGAAUUUGUUUUGGUGUUUUAAAGCUUCCUCUCCAAAAAAUUAGGUUUAUAAUGGUUAUAGAGAAAAAGAAAACCUGGGCCAUAUUACCACUGAGGAACGUGAAUAUAGUUUUUGGUGCUGUGGUGGGAACUACCGAACAUGAUUAAGGUCAAUUGUUCAAGUAAAUUUAUGGAUAAUGAAAGUUGUUAUAUUUUCCUUGGUACAAUAUGUAUAUUUAUGGGUUUUAGUAGAAGAAGUAAGUUUGUAUUUAGACCCAAAAAAAAGUAAGUUUAUAAAAGUGUGGAUGAUAAAGCUAAUUAGUUCUGUAACAUGUACAUAGAAAACAAAAACGGAACAAAUGUCAAUGUGAUUUUAAUUUGUAUAUCACCAAGUUCUGAAAUUAAUCCCAGUUAUUUUAUUUUGACAAACAAAUUUAUUAUAUCCCUUAUAAGUACAAAGAAAUUGCAUAUUUUAUGUUUUAUAGUUUGUCAAUAUCUAAAUAAAAAUUUCACUAUCUUUUAUGGAUUUGUUAUGAUAUAUUAAUAAGAAGUUAAAUUUCUUUUUGAUACCUUAUGGAAAGCUAAAACAUAAAUAUAUCUAAACUUAUUUUCAUUCAGAACUAUUUAUAUCUAUCUUCAGAUUUAAUACUCUAACUUAAAUUUGACUCAAAAUAGUGUUUUCGAAUUUAGAAUGUAAUACUAUUAAACAUUAUAUGAAGACGAAGAAACAACAAGGUCGCACAAAUAGAGUUAAGAAAUGAGACCAUGUGUAGAAAUACUAAAGUAAUUGUUUUACCACUUUUAUUUCGGUUGUUUCAUUGUUAUUGUUUUUUCAUAGAUUUAUAGCCAUGUGGCAAAAGAAAGACAUCUUAUGUUUCCCUUAAGAAAUAUGAAGAUGACAUAUCGGUGGUGCUGCUGGGACGCAAUUGAGGUAAUUGUUAUGAUUUUUCUCGAUAUAUUAUCCAUAAUUUAUGUUUUAUGUAAAUAUAAAUUAACACUCUUCGGUAUCUCUUGACACCCAAUAAAAGUGGUAUGACAAUAUACGUGGAGUUAAUAUAUUUUUAACCCAAAGUGUAUUGUCAAUACAAUACAAUACACGUUCAAAAUAUAUGUUGAAUUUAUAAAAAAUUAAGAUUGUUUCCCGUACGUAGUACGGGAUCAAACACUAGUAGUCUAUAAUCCAGUGUCUUACUUAAAAUUGCAAACGUUGAAGGUGGAAUCACACAUAAUUACCCGUAGUAGCUUUUCUAUUUUUUUAGCUGUAGCAGUUAAUUUGGUAAAGAUAACAAUGACAUCUUCAUCAUCAUCAACAACAACAACAUGAUUAAAGACUAUUCAUAUUUUCUUUAUAGACUACCAUCGUCAUAAUUAACACCAUGGGCCCAUGGCCAAGACUUAUCAUCAUUUGUAAGAUUGUAUCACCUUCAAUAUAACCUUUUUGUUGGUAGCUAACCUCUGGUGAUCAUAUGGAAACAUCAUCGCGGCCAUGUUUUUCAGUUCUUAAUUGUAACCCAUUACCACUUCAGCUUUUUUUUGUGUGCAUUACCACUUCAGUUUCUCAACAUGAUCAUAUAUAGUUCUAGAAGUAACACAUAAGAACAUGUAAUUCGUAUUGAAUGUGACAGGUAAGAGUCAACAUAAGUUACCAUAUAUAAGGGUGCAGAAACAUUUAUGACUUGUGUAUAGGACCAUAUAUACAAGUGUUUGUAAUGUGUGGUCCUCGCGAAAUUUAGUAAUAUAAUUACAACGUUAUGCAUGUGAUUCUGCGUGCAUGGACAGUUGUGCUGUUAAUUCAUACGUACAACAUAAAUAAAUACCCAUUCAGUGUCCAACAGAAGUAACUAGACUCUUUCUGUUUCUCUCAGUAUACAACAGUAACAAGAAACAACAAUACUACUUCCAGAAAAAAAAAACUCCCGAACUUGAUUUUAAGCUAGGAACUAGAUUUUGACCUGUGCUUUCAAGCACGGGUUUGAUUUUGUUUUGCUUUUCAUAAUUAUGAAAUUUAGGGUUUGAAACAUAUAAUUUUGAAGAUUAUAUCACUAAUAUAUAGGUCAUUUGCAUAAGCACAAUUAAUUUGUAUAAAAUUUUAUCACGCGUUUGCGUUUUUGUAGUUUGUUCGAAAUUUGUUUAAAAAUUCAUUUGUGUGUAAAAAUAGUAUAACAAUUUGAAACCGGUAUAAAUAUAGUGUUAUUAGUAACAAUUUAUGUUACAUUUAAUUGUAUGUAUAUUAACAAUCAAACUACCAAUUAUAAAACCAAGUAUUAGAAUAUUUUUUAAAUUUUUUUUUAAAAGUAUCUAUAAUAUAAAUCUAAACUACAAUUUCCUAUUUUAUAAAAGUAUCAGAGAGACAUAUGUUCCAUUAUUAAAAGUUAGGUUUAAAAAAAAUGUUUUAUUCACAUAUAUUUUUGUAAGUUAUGUUCUUAAGUAUUUGGGAUUUUUCAUAUUUUAAAUUUAAUGUGGGUCUCAAUUUAAUUAUGUUAAAAAUUUUGGUCUUAUUAAUUUGGAUUUAUUUGUGUUAGAAAUUAAUUUUGUAGUCGAUGGUACUAUGCUUCUUGUGGGUGAAAUGAAUAUUUUAAUGUUUUUAAAAGUGGGGGAAAUGAAUAUUUCGAUAAGGUUAUGUUAUAAUAGGUUGUGCUUUGGUUUUGGUUCAUGUAAUUUAUUUUGUUUGGGUAGGGUGGUUUAGCAAUCUAUUUAGAUGGUUAAGAAUAAAUAAUAAUGUAUCCAGUUUGAUAGUUAGAGUUUGAUAGUUAGAGUAAAAACGCUUAUAUAGGGUAAAAUAUCUUGUCACGUAUUAUUAUAAUAUAAAGGAGAAGUCCAAAAAAUAAAAAAGUAAAGGGUCCAAACAACCUUUUUAAGUAGAUUUAUUAAAACUCCUUCCCUUUUAAUAGUAUUGAUAUACUAAGGGAUUAAGUUCAAAAAUCUAUAUUCUAGGGCCGGACUAUUAGUUCCGUUCAUAUUUCAUAUCUAUACUAUUAUCUGUGAAGUAAUUUUUUGGAAUCGAGCUCUCACGUUAAAAGUUAGUGCGGUUAAUAUCGUUUAUACCCUUAAUGAAUCAAUUAUAUAAAUUAGUCAAAAAUAAAAGCGAAUUUUAGAUCUAUAUGAUUAAAUAAAUGAUCAAAAUUAAUAAUAAUCAGAAUUAUCUAAAAUAUAAAUAAUUAUAAACGAAUUUCUAUAAAACAUGAGAUAAUUCUUAAAUAUAUUAUGUUUUUAUCUGUUUAUACCCUUAAUGAAUCAAUUAUAUAAAUUAGUCAAAAAUAAAAACGAAUUUAAAUCUAUCUGAUUAAAUAAAUGAUUAAAAUUAAUAAUAAUCAGAAUUAUCUAAAAUAUAAAUAAUUAAAAACGAAUUUCUAUAAAACAUAAGAUAAUUCUUAAAUAUAUUAUGUUUUUAUCUGAAAAUAACAUUAUUUUUUAGAAUUGAACUCUCACGUUAAAAAUUAGAGCGAGUAAAUUUUUGAAAUCAUGUUCUCACGUUAAAAGUUAGAGCGGUUAAUAUCGUUUAUACUCUUAAUUAAUCCGCAAAAAUUACUUCGCAAAUAAUAGUAUAGAUAGAUUUUAAUGUUUGAUUUUUUUUGAAACAUAAUUAAUAAUUUAUUAUGUUGGUUUUUGAUUUAAUAAUUAUAAACUAAUAAAUAUCUAUAAAAAUAAUAUGCCCGCAUGUGCGGGCAGAAUACAUAGUUUCUAUGUAUUUGUCAAUGUGUGUUCAAUAUAACUUUUGAAAUCUGGUUUAGUGUAAUGUGUGAUGAAUUAAUUCUGUAAAUUUUGAUCACCAGAUUUGCUAAUUUCACAUCUUAAUUAUUUAUAUAAAUCUUACACUAGAGCAAAACGGCUUUCUCUCACCUAGACAAUCGAUCUCUUUGUCAUACAUGGCAAAGGUUUAUCAUUACUGAAUAUUUUUUAAGAAAACAUGUACAAAACACAAACAUGGUAACUUCUGAAUAUUCCGAAAUCUUCAAAAUUUGAAGAUAUGUACAAAAACAAUAUGAUGAGUACUUUUGAAUAUUCCGAAAUAUUCAAAAUUUAACAUAAGUACAAAAACAAACAUGAGUGUGUUAACAUUCCCAAUUAUUCAUAUUUAUUGCCUAGCUCAUAUACAUCUAGUUAAUUAUUGUUAUCAUAUAGCUCUAGUUAAUUAGCUGUAGCUAGUUCAUUCGAUAUUGUAAUAACAAUAUUGGAAGUGUAUUUCUUAUAGUAGUACGCAUGUCGAAACACAACACUACACGGAAUUAAUAUAAAUACAACAUUAGUUACAUAAAUUGAUGUUUUUGAUUAUACAUAUGAAGACUUUCAACACAUUACAACACAACGAAGUUACUAACUAAAUACAACCUUUUCUAUAACGUACACUUUAAGAUAUUAAUUAAUUAUUGUAAGGUAAAACCGGCACAGAAAAAUAUGGAUCGACCACAACCAUAGUGCUACUCCCAACACAAGCAUCACAAGAAAACUCAUUGUAAAACGCUCUUGCCUUCCUUAAUAUAUAGCUUAUGGAACAUUUCAUGUACCAAAACAAGCUUAUUUGAGCAACUUCACGUUUCAAAUCUCCGUAUUCUGUUGUGAUUACCGACUUACCGUCUUUGCGGUUGAGGUUGUACAGCUCCCCGUGUUCUUGUUGGCUCGUCUCCUCUUCUUUAACUGUCUGGUCUUCCAUAAACAAUAGUGCAUUAGGUAGAGGGUCUGAUUUUUUAAGGUCAUUAUGAUAGAUUUCCGUACGCGUUUUUCCAGGAAAAGCAUUGUUGAACAUGUUUUCGCUUAUGGAUUUUGAUGGCCGGGGCUUGUUUUCGUUGCGUUUACGAGGUUUCCGGGUCGAAAUUGAGAUUUUGGAGCGGUGGACUUGAGCGAGGAUGAUGAAUUUAGUAGCCAUGAGACUGUUGAGUGUGCUUGCUAUAUGGUAUGAAGUGAUUGGUGUUGAAUUGCUCUUUUCGGUCCUUAAGAUAUUUAUAUGCACACAUCUAUACAUACACAUCAUUCAUGUAUGUUAUGUAUAUGUGUUAAACCUUUGGUAUGAUGUAAUUUUUUUUUCUACCAAAAAGCUUCAUUUGUCGAUGGGUAUAUCUUAAAAGGAUGGAAUCAUGCAUGGUUACUAAAAAAAUGAUUGGUUUUGGUCUAAGCGUACAAUAUUAAUUAAGUGGCAAUUUUAAGCUUUCGCAAUCUUUCGUUGUAUAUUUUUUUUGGUAAAAUCUUUCGUUGUAUAUUACCUAACAAUUAAGAGGCAGAAACCUAUAAAAAAUAUUAAAGUCCAUAAAUUUUGAAAUAUAAAAUACGAUAAUUACUUAUAUAUAAUUCGAUAAUUAUUAGAGAUUCUCGGACUACUCUCGCAUUUGGUUAAUUAAGUCUGGGUUUUGAUUUGGUUCGAGUUCUAAUAAAACAUCAUCUAAACUUUUUACAAUUUUAAUUUUCUAUUGGUUUUUUUUCAUUUUUUACUUUGGUUUGAUUCAUUUUUUUAUUUUGCUCAUCUAUUUAAAAUUUUAAAACAUGACGUACAUUUUAGAGUUAACACUUCUUCAUAAAACGAGGAGUGAAUCUUUGUUUCUUUAUUUUUGAUUCAAGAGUUAAGUCGAGUGUUUUCAGACUAAAGAUUUAGUUUGCACGUCCGUACUGUACGGAAUAGGUUUGAUGUAUGAUUUUACAUUUCUACAUGCUAUAUUACGCAUAUAUGUUUACAGUAUAUAAUGAAUCAUGCAUACAUAUGUGCAUAUUCUAUUUAGACGGUAGAUCAUGUGGUCUAUAUUGCUGGAUCUCAAUCGGUGAAAAGAGGGGGGCCAUGAAAGCUGGAUGAAAAUGAAAUGUACUUUGCAUUGACAAAUGACUUUACCUCUUCCAUUUCACAAAUUCUUUUUUACUAUAAAUGAUUUAUCUAUAAUAAAUAUAGAAUAAUUCUAUUCACACGUUAUGACAGAAGAAGAACCUAGAAUCUAUGGAACUUCGAUACGGAUAUAGAAAGUAUGGUCCAUACCCACGUGCAAGUUGUUUGGUAUCUGUAUGUUUCCUUGGUUCCUUUCAUUAAAAAGCCGGUGAGCUUACGCAUUUUCAUGUUUCACAUAUCCCAGCGUUUUGGGUAAUCGUCUCUCUCAAAUCACCCAAACUCAGUUAACUUUUCAGUCGUUAAGUGUGUACAAACUACGUAACAUCCCCAUUGCGAGAAUCCAUCUGAUAAUACCUGGCCUUAGGUGAAGAAACUUAUUUUAACAUUCCAUAGCGGAUGAUUAACUCCUAUAAUUUUAAAAUAGUCAUUCGUAAUAAGAUAAUAAUAAUGGCAAUUGGCAAAACAACCUUAGAUAGGGGUGUCAAAAUGGGUUGUGAUUAAUGGAUUGACCAAAACCAAACCAAUCCAUAGUUCUAAUGAGUUAAUAAUUUGGAUCUUAAUAGAUUAAUGGUUUAGUGGCUUUAGUGAGUUUAGUGAGUUGGAUUAAUAAUGGUUUGGAUCAAAAUGGGUUUACGGGUUAUCCAAUCCAACCCAACUCGUUAGUCAAGAGGGUUUCUAUCUUAUGGAUUGUAUUUGAGUUUUGACUCUCAUGGCUGAAGAUGGCUUCUUUGAUCAUGCGUAUGAUAUUUUGGGUUUUUGGUUUGAUAUUUUCUUAUUGGAAAAUGUCUUUUGCCUUGUUGUCUUUAUUGAAAUUCAGAUUUUUCGCUUCAUCAUAUAAGCUCAUUGCUAAGGGGUCUCUUUGACUAGUUUAUGAAGAAAUACUUGUAGACUUUCAAGCUUUAUUUUAUUUGUGGUUGGAAGAAUAUUCUUUGACUCUGUCUCUUCAUAGUGCUAAUAGACUUUCUUAAUGUUGACAGGUAUCUAUCUAUAAUGCAUUGUGCACCAGAUCACCAGCCUUUGCGUGUUUGUGGAACACUUGUAGCAGCAAGGUGAGUUCUUUUUCACAUAAGAAAUUAUUAUUAAAAUUUCAGUUAUGGCAACAGCGUGUAGCCGUCUAUUUGAUUUUCUUUUGCUAAUUUAAAAAUGAAAUGGACUAGGUGAUAAAUUGAUAGUCGGUGGUGUUGUUUGAGGUGUCAACAAAUUUGGCAUCAACGAAGAUGAUGAAUAAUGAAGAUCUUCUAAACAGUGGUGGUCAAUCAUCCAUGAGUGCAUCACGUCCAAGCUCUAUUGUGUACUCGUUCUUGGAUAUAUGGCUACAUGUUUGAUGAUGAAGGUACACAUACUUUUUUUCUUAUAAACUGAUCAUGUAUAUGAAAGUGUAACACUAUUUUCUUGUGAAAUUGUAGAUGAUAAAGGCGAAGGUGAGACAGUUGUUAUUAGACCGAGUCCAAAUGACGUGAAGACGUGAAGACAUGAUCACACAUCCACCAAAGGAGUAAGUCUCUUUUAUUUUGCUCAGUUCUGAAUUUCUGUUUGUCUUUUUGUGUGUGUUUUAAGCUUGUUUGUUCUGAAUUUCUGUUCUUUGUCUGACAUUUGACUUAAAAAAAGAUGAUACUUUGUUUCUUGUCUGACAUUAGACUUGAAAAGAUGAACUGAAACCAGUUUUUACUGGUUCUGAAUUUCUUGUUUGGUAAUGGGAAUUUCAGCUUUGAAUGUCAAUCUUAUCGUUUAAACUUCCACACAAAAAGUAGAGAUUUUGAAAUUGGGUUUGUUGGAUUGGUUCAUAGCUUCAGGUUUUAAGUAAAGCGUUCUCGAGGCUUGAAAAUUGCAGCUUGCUUGAACUCUAUUUCUUCACAUACUUAUCAAAAAAAAAAACUCUAUUUCUUGAAUAUUUUACAGGAGGAUUCCAACAAGAAUGUAAGGACAAAAACAGCAGAGGCUAGGGACAAGAAUACACACCUUCGUAAAAUGCCCAAACCUUUAUAUAUUUUGUUGAACCUGAGUAAUAUUUUCCUUUUGCAACAUUUGGAUUUUUGGAGUUUGAAUUAUUAUAUAAAUAUAUUGUGUUCAAAACUUCAAAUAUUUUGAUAAGUUAUAAUAUAUAAUUUGUUAAUUUUUUAUUAGCAUUUUUUGUUAUUAAAUGUUAGUAAGUCAUAUGGUAAUUUUAUUGUGAUGUAAUAAUAUAUUUGAAUUCAGUUUAUUAAUAGCAUUUUUGAAACUACUAAUUCAUUAAUUUAUAUGGAUUAUGGCUUAAUCCAAACCAUUUAGUUAACGGGUUGGAUUAAUUCAUGAUCCAUAAACUCUUCGGUCCAUUUAGGUAUAGUUUGGUUUGGGUUGGUUUAUCCAUUUCGACACCCAUUUUAGGAAUGGUGAGUACUAUACUUUCAUGUAUCCACUGUUCACUAACUAUCAUACCAUUUUUCUACACUGAAUAUAUGAUUGGCAACGUGAGUCUAGAAAAUAAAUCUCUGAUUUGUAUUGAUUUUUACAUUUUCUCAAAUCAAUAUCUGUUUAGGGUAUACUAAAAACAAAAGCAUCAACAGUGGAAGCAGAAAAUUUUAAUUCUUGUUUCUUUCUACUUUUUUAUGUACAUCAAAAAUUAUAUGUCGACGAUGUCAGAGACAACCCCUUCGAAACCAUGUCCUCCUUCACCUCAAUAGCUUUGCUCAAACUUCCUGCCUCGAUCAAACCAUCAAUCAGACUAUUAUACACAAUAACAUUAGGAAGAAACCCUUUCUCCGUCAUCUCCUUCACAACACCAUAAGCAUCACCAAAUCCUCUUAGCCUUGAUCAAGCCCUUAACAAGAACACUAUAAGUAACCAGAGUAGGUUCCACACCAUUCUCCACCAUCUUUUCUUUAAACAUAAACGCCUCAUCGUACCUCCCAAUCACUCCAAGACCAUCAAUAACAGUGUUGUACGUCACAACGUUCGGCACAACACCAGCUUCCUCCAUCUUCACCAACAACUUAAUACCCUCCUCCACUCUCCCUCUCUUGCAAAACGCGUUGAUCACUUUAGUGAACAAGUAAACAUAAGGAGAAACUCCUUUGCAAACAACUUCAAACACUUCGCAACACUUCGCAACACUUCCGAAACUCCUUAGCUCUCACCAGAGAAGUCAGCAGAACGUUGCAAGUCAUCUUAGACGGAUACAACUUGUUCACUACUGUAAGUCAUCUUAACUUAUGAAAAUUUUCGAAAAUGUAAAGACGCCAUUGAUCAAUGUUGAAGAAGGAUUGAAGCUGUUGUUGAGCCACACCAUGGGAGAGAGAGAGACUUGUUCAUGGAACACAGAGAGAGAGAGAGAGAGAGAGAGAGAGAGAGAGAGAGAGAGAGAGAGAGAGAGAGAGAGAGAGAGAGAGAGACGGAGGCGAUUGGGCAAAACCCAGGGUUCAGACUUGGGAGACACGAACGAGAUCGACAAAUAUGGGCCUGCGAAUGCUAAGCCCAUUAAAAUAACAUGUAUGCGAUAUAACACUAAAUGAGCUUAAAUCCAGGUAUUAUAACUCGCAAUGAAAUUCGUGUUGUUUUCCGUUUCAUUCCUCCUAAUGCGAAAUGGGCUUUCAGUUAACUAUUGUUUUAUUUUUCUAUAAAUAAAUGCAACCACUGUUCAUAAAAUUAAAGUUCCGUAUCGACCUAAUGUGAUUCCGAUGGAAACAUGGAAGAGCAUCCACAUCGUCUUUCUCUUGCAUGUGCUCUAACAAUUAAAAUAACAAUAUUAAUGCAAAAUGUAUGAGAGAUGGAAAAAAUAGAAAGAGGGAGGGGAGAUAGUGUUCUCGUUUGAGAGCACUAGAAAACACAAUGAGAACAUGUUCUAAUACGUGUCAUAUCACUACUGGUCUAAUUCUUGUUAUGUUUAUAAUUUAAUUAUAGUAUUAAGUUUUAUUACUUUUAUACGUUGAGAGCUUAGGGCAACAUUAUCGCAACGUCCCAGCUGAUCCUUAAGGGCAGGAGACCCACAAAAACACCAGGACCGAGGGGGAAAGUCGUUAUAUAAGCAACGUCCCAGCUCGUCCUUCGUCCUUUGAUAUCUCUUGCGUCCUUUGCUUUUUUUAUUUUAAGGACUUAAAAUUGUCCUAGCGAUAAUAAUGGCCUUACUUGUUAGAGCUUUUUUGUUAAUAUGGAUGCUCUAACGUGUGGGAAAACAGCGUAACAAUAAUAACAAAAGUAACCAUUAAAAAGUUCUUACAUGAGUUCUUAAUUUUUUUUUUAAAUACAUAUUUAUAAAGUGUGGUUUUGGGAUCUCAAAAUCAUGAAAAUCCCUUCUCAACCCAAAAUAUAUACACUUAAGAAACUUUGUUUGUGCACCUCCAGUAGAGUUCCUAUAAAAAAUUGAAUUUAAAAUAACAAUACUAACAGUUUGGCAAAAUUCUUUCAUAUCAUAAUUUUUAAAGAUACUAAGAGUGUGAUUGGAUACCACUUGAGUAAAAGAGAGAAAAUAAAAAGAUGAAAAUGAGAGAAAAUUAAAAAUGGUGAAAAAACAAGAAAGAGAAAAAAGAAGUGGAAGUGUUAUUAGUUAUUACUUAUUACUCUAGCAAAAUAAAGAGUAAAAAUUAGUGUGUAUUUCUCUCUCUUUUAAAUAUUAAGUGGAGUAAAAAUUGAAACAUUAAUUUCUACUUGAUUGGUAUAAUUUUAGUGGAACUUGGAGUAAAUAAAAAACUAGACCAAAAGUUUAUAGUACAAUACAAUCACACUCUAAUCAUGAAAUGUAACGGUGUGACAUGACAUGACAUAUCCCACACAUUGUCAGUUUUAAUCUAAUCAUGAAGAAAAUAAUGUUAUCACCUUAUGGAAUGAACCUUUAGCAUAUGGUUCACGUGAAAACAAAUUGACUCAGGGAUCACGCCAACUUGCAGUACUAACAUUCGUAACUAUGCGAUGUAUAAGAAAGACAACAUGCUUUUGUCACAAUGUUUUCAGACUGCCACUUGUUUUACUCUUAGUUCAAUAAGAUCCAUCGCUCGACUUUUUCUAGUAUUCGAUUGAUGAUUUCCUCACAAUAGUAUAUAUGGUACAUACUCGGUAAAAAGCUUAAUUAGUAAGCUAGACGAAAAGAAUCGAUCAACAACAAGUAAGCUGUAACUUCACAUGCUGCACUUUUAACAUAUAAAAAACUUCACAUGCUGCAUAGUUGUUUGUAUUUUAUUUUGUCGGCAAACGAUGAUUAUAGAAUCCUAUAAAGUAGUUCAAUACAACAGUUUGAUCUGUAUAGUAUAGAUUUAUACAACAUUGAUCCAAGAAAUAAGAUGAUUCUUUAAAUUAAAUCUUGCAACCUUGUCAAGGUUUCACGUCAUCAAUAGCAUCUCUUUUGAUGAGCAUGAAUUUGUAACGAAUUUAUAUAUUCAACGUAUCUAGCAUGCUAAUAACUUGAUGACUUGAUUGUCUAUAGUCUUGAAGCUUAUGGUGUGAGUUUUGCUGACUAAGGCUGGGAUAUAACACCUUUGAAUCUCCAAGGAGCUUCCAGUAGGCUCUAAAGAGGGUUGACCCCUUUAUUGAACCAUCAAUGGUUACCAACAUGCAACCAAUUACAAGUUUACAACUCUGUGCUUUUAUGACACCCAUGAUCCUUGUACAAACACAGCAAGAUGUGUUUCCUUUGACUAUAACUGCCUGAGCUGUUCUUACAACCGAUUCUUCUCUCUUUCCCAUGUUCCAGUGAGUAUCAUGAGCGUGAUCUUUUCCGGAUAUCUGAAUUAACGGGAGCCGCGUCAGGCGACCUCUAUAAUUUCUCAAAUUCAUUUCACACUUUUCCAUAUCUACUAAUAAUAGCAAUCCUAAUUAAUUCCAAAGGCUGUGAAUCCACUUAUAUUGAAAAGUUGUGUCUUUUGUAAAAAAUGUUUAAAAGGUUGUGUCUUUUACAAAAUGUUAAAAGGUUGUGUCUUUUACAAAAUGUUAAAAGGUUGUGUCUUUUCUAAAAAUUGAUUGAAAGGUUGUGUUUUUUAUAAAAAAAAUAUUUAAAAGGUUGUGUCUCUUAUACAAAAAUGUUGGAAGGUUGUGUUUUUUCUAAAAAUUAUCUAAAGGUUAUAACUAUUCAUAUAUGUAUCUUUUAAAAAGUGAAAAAUUGUGACUAUUCUUAUAAGUAUCUUUUCAAAAUAACUACAUUUAAAUUGGAAGAAUGCGACUAUUCAAAUUGAAGAGUUGUGACUAUUCAAAUAUAGUUUAAAAAUCUAUAAAUAGUCUAUGCUAUACAUUUCUCAAAAUAUAAUUUUCACUAAUCAACUAAUAAUAAAAUAAUAGAAAAAAAGUUCUAAACAGUUACAUGGAUACAAAUUGUUAGAAUACACUUAAAUGAAGCGUUAUAAGCAAAAAAUAUUAGGAAGAGAGUUUUACGUGUUUGGAUAGCUAAAAAUUCAAAACGAAAUAAUGAAAUCAUUAGUCUCAAUUUUCUUAUAUUAGGAAGAGUUCUUCAUAUUGUUGCUAUUUUAAAACAAACCAACAACCCCGUAAAUAAUAAGAUCACAUUUUAGUUUAUGUAAACUAUUUUUUUGUUUUAUUUGAUUUUGGUUGCAGAAUGAAACAAUUGUUGGUUCUAUUAAUAGUAAAUAUAUUCAACAAUUGGAAGAAUAUUUUGAUGAAGGAAACAUUUUAAAUGAUCAGUCAACAAUUGAGAUUAUUAGUGAUGCAGAAGUUUCAAUUGAAUUUGAGAAAAUUGAAUUUUUUAACUAUGACCAUUUUCGAUUGCUAGCCAUUCCAGAAGAUCAUGAGUAUUUGUAUAGUCACAACUCUUCUAUUUGAAUAGUCACAACUCUUCAUUUAUAACUGAUUUCAUUUUUUUAAUUUAUGUCUUUACAAUUCUAUUUAUUUUUUAUGUAUUUCAUAACAAAAUUAUAUAAUAACUGUUGACUGCUAUAAUAAAAUCUAAAAAUGAUGACGAGAUUAUAAGUUUCGAUUUUUUAUUAUAGGAUGAGUAUGUAAUUUUUUAAAAAAAAUUAGUAAAAAUAAGAUAAGAAUAAAACAAAUUUUAAUAUAUGAAUUAUAGAUUAUGUGAUCAAUCUAUAAUAAGUUUGCGCCAGAUAUUUCUGAAGGUAAAAUAUAUAAAUUUAGUGAUUUUGAAAUAUGGAGAUUGGAAGGGUUAAGAACAUCAUAAAAUUGACCAUUGGUCCCUUGACUAAUAAAGUUUUCUUAUUAUUUGCUCUUUGUUAAUUUUGUUAGAAUAUAUGAUAAAUAAUAUGAUGUUUUUCUCUCUCAACGAACACAUGCAACCUUCCAAGUGAUCAUAGUUACAAUAACUGUCACCAUUAACCUUAAGUUUUUUUUUGACAAUCAUGUUCUUCUUCUUUCAUUUUGAAUGAUAUUUUUUCAAACCAUCCCACAAAUUUUUUUUCAUUUGGAAAGCUUUAGUCCACUGUUGACUUUUCGAUUGUAUUGGAUCAUUACCAUUGGUGUUAGUCCGUUAACUAAGAUGAAUUUUCUUCUGUGUUCUUGAGGAAUAUCCCGGCAAUAGUAGGACUGAGCAGGUAGAGAAAUCAAAGGCAUAAGGAAAUAGAAAAUAGGAUGAAGAGACCAUGUAUAAAUUUCUUAUAAGUUUCUGAAGCGAAAAGGUCUAGUGGUUAAGUUUCUAAAAAUAUACAACUGCUCUAUUAUGAAAGAACUCAAUGAAAGGGUUCAAUUGUUAAUUUUCUGAAAAUAUAUAACUCUUCAAUGUAAUGGUCAUGUCUUUUUCUUAACUGAAUGAAAUUUCUAAAAAAAAAAUGAUAUGAAAGGGUUAGACGGUUAAGUUUUUGAAAAUAUCCAACUUUUUAAUUAUAAAAUAUAAAAUAAUUUAAUAAGAGGGUUUCAUGGUUAAGUUUUUGAAAAGAUACAACUCUUCAAAGAAUGAACACUUCUUUUGCUUAAAUGAAACUAUGACAGCAUAUUAAUGAUCCUAAAUGACAUCAUGACCAUUAGACUAGAGAUAGGGAAUACACUCCUCCGUUAGAUUUAAGUUUUUUUUCCUAUAAAAAUGCUGACGUCAACGUUAAAUUGAAUUUAUAUUUGUUAUAACAAUCGUAUUAACCAAUCCACUUGUUGAUUUAAAACCGGAGAAAUCCUUGAGAUCUUUCCAGACCCGAAUGUUUUGGAAUCGGAUCCAGUGAAUAGCAGAUCUCCAGAAGCAGCCAAGGAAUAUAUAUGAACUUCUUGUCUCACGAUCGUACCGGAUCAAACUGUUGUCCAAAUCAUCCUCGAUGGUUCGGGUCUGAUAGAUCCACGGAGACUUGUAGUAAGGAGAGUAAUUCUGGUUCCACGGCGAGGGAGACACCGUGGGCGUUGUUGUUGUGUUGGUGUAGUAAGUAUGGUUCCAUGGAGAGGAAGACAUAGUAGCAGUAGGCGUUGUUGUUGUGUCCCUGUAUUAUGGAGAGUAAGUCUGGUUCCAUGGAGAUAAAACUUGAUUAGGAGACAAGUCACCGACGCUCGUGGUAGAAGCAUUGUUUUGUUGUUGUUGGUUAUUCUUGUUACUACUGGGAUUGAUGACAUCUGCAGCACCAUGCCUGAUGCCUCUGUUCUUCUUCGUCGGCCGAGAGAUCGGUGUUUAAGAAGGCGGCGAAAGUGAGUCUACGGUGAUGACUACCAUUGGUUUCUGAAUUUAUAAACAUAUGGAAUAGUUGUUGUGAAGUUUCUUUUCUUUUUCAAGGAUUAAUGAGUUUUAAUUUCGGUAUCAUGUUCCAGGAAAAAAAGAGUUCGAAAAUGUCUUUUUUUCUUCUCAGGAUUGGUAGAGAAAAAAAUUGUUGAUUUGGUUUGUUUAAUGAAAUUUUAUUUUUUUGCUUCAUUUGAACUUGCAUAUUUAUUAACUAUAUUUUGUACCAUACACAAAUUCUGCAAAAUAUAUUACAUACAUAAAAAUUUAUUUAUUUUAAAUAGUAUCUUAUCUUUUAUUUUAAAAUACUGAUAAACCAAAGGAUUACAUAAAUAUGAAAACAGAGGUAGAGACUAAAUAUUAGAUAAACAAAAAAAGAACAAGUAGACUUGUACAUAUCUUUUGUUUAUCUAUCAGAUAAAGUUUAGAUUAAUAAAUCUAUUUAAACUAUAAAUAAAAAUAUCAAUGGUAAUUUUAAUUUAACAUACAUCUUGACCUAUAAAAUAUUGAUCUAAGACUCAAUAGAAGAAAAAUGGUGUAAUAUAUAAUGUAAAUGAAAUUUGGUGUUUAAUAAACUGCAUAGAGUUAUUUGAUACAAUUUGUUAUAAAAUUUCAUGAUAUAAUUUACAAGACAAAUAACAUUUUCAGAAUACGCCUUUAGUGGAGGCUUUUAAUUUACUUCCCAAUCCAACUAAAUUUUUACAUUUUAUAAUCUUGUAAAGACAAUGUUAAAAUUUUAGAAAUAUAUAUCAAAUUAAGCUUCAAACUUCACAAUUGUUAAAUAAAUUACCUUAAAAAUUUAAACAGAACUAAAAUAAAAUAUUUACAGAAGAAUAUAUUAAAAAUAUUACAAUAUUGUUUUAAGAGUCAAAUUAUAUUUUAGAGGGAAAUAUACAGAAAUAUAUCUUUAAUAGAAUUUUUCAAUUUUCAAGUAAAAUUAUAAAGUUAAAAAUAGAGGUGAGUUGGUCUUACACGUAAAUGAGAGAAGAUUAUUAACAAUUUAAAUGAAUAUUUGCAGUUGUUUAAGUGAAUCAUUAAAAGUGUUUUGUGGAACAGUUAUAACUGCUUAAAUAAAAUCUUACAACCGUUGAUGAAUGUAAUUUUUAGUGAUGAACCAUUGCGAUCUUUGGUGAUGAACUAUUGUAAUUGUUAGUAAUUACAGUCUUCCGUGAUAAAUCAUUGCAACUUUUGGUGUUAACCAACUAUUGUAACAUUUAGUCUUAUUUAUAAGGAGUUGUGGACACUGAAAAAUUGCAAAUAGAAAAUUACAACAAUCACAUAUAAAUUAGAAUGAAAAGUUUCAUUGUUAAAUGAUCAUCAAAAAUCUUUAAAUAAAUACAUACAAAUAUGAAGAAUUCUUUUUGUUAUUCUUGUAUCUUAACCUAAGCUUUGAAAUUUUGUUUGAAAACAAUAACAUUCGAGAGUAUUUAUAUCUUAAUACCACCUCAACUUCAAAAAUGUUAUUUAAAAAUAUAACAAAAACCAUUAAUGAUUUCAAAAAUGUAAAUCCAUAAUAUAUCAAUUUAGUUAAUUUAUUUGCGUUAGUUUAAUAUAAUAAUUCCUAAUGUUUUAUAAAAACCCUCCCAAACAUUUAAGGCAAUAUUAUAACUGGGAAUGAUCAUAUCAGUAUAAAAUCACCAUAUAUUUAUUAUGAUAUCCAGUUUCUUUAAUAUACUUUCUCAGAAAAGUAAAUAAAUAUAUAAAAUAGUAAUUUUUAUUGUCAUUGGCACAUAAAUUGUAAUUUUUUUAAAAAGAGUAAAAACUAGUAAUUUUAAUAUUGUCUUUUUACUAAGAAAAAAUAUUUAAAUUUCAUACAAAAUAAUUGAACAUUUUAAAAGAAAUAGUUGGAACUAAAAUUCAUGUGACAAUUGUAAAAAAUAAACCUUAAAAGAGGGAGACACACUUGUAUGCAAUAUUUUUUUCUGAUAGAAAUAUAAUCGGAUCAUAAAGUUUUAUAUAAACAUAUAUUUAAAUAUUUUGUAAAUAUAUUUUAAUUAUCAAUAUUAUAUUUUUUGGUAUCGAGAAGAGUUGAUUGUUGAUGAUGAUUUAUAUACAUAGUCUAUUAUAAUAUUUAACAAAGAUGUUUCAGUUAUUCUAAAUUAGCCAAUAACUAAAUCACACAUUUAAUAUUUAUUCGUUCAAAAAAUUUAAUAUUUAUUGUAUUUUACAUAAUCUUAUAAAAUAAAUUAGUUUCCACGUAUAGGUAUUCAUAGUGUAAUUAAAUAGAUCAAAUUUUAUUGGGGAAUAUGAAUCCAUUGAUGUAUUCACAGAUAAAAAUGAUUUUAUCAUUCAUUCUAUUAUUGGAAUGUGUUUGCUUUUAAUUAGUUUCAAAUAUUCAGUUGUUUUCGAGAUUUUUGAAUAACUCAGCUAAAUGGAUAAUAAAACAUAUAUCUUAAUUGGUAUUGACAUAGUUAUAAUUUUACUACAAGCAAACCUAUAAACAAAAUAUUUUUUUUUAGCAUUAUCAAUAAAUGAAUACAGUUGCAUGUAAGAUAAUUUUGUAACAAAUGUAUUUUCUCAAGAGCAAUUGUAAACCGUUUUUGUAUGAGAAUAUUUUAUAAAAUAAGAUACAGAUAUUUUACGAAAUGAGUUCCGUGCGACAUCGCACGGGUUUCAACUAAAGGGAAGAACUUAAUAUAUAUUAUCAGCUAGUAAUUUAUCAUAAAGUAGAGCUGCUCAACAAUAUCAACUAGUGUACGUGCUGUUGAAAAGUUGCUCACUUGGAGGACACUGAAUCAAAGAGGUCUCGCUAGAUGAGCAAAUUGUUGGCGUUUUCUCAUUAUUUGUAUAUUUUACCAAAAAAUAUUUGCACAUAAGUGAAAACUAAAUAAAAACAUUUAAGGAGACGUUAGACAAUAAGCAAAUCAUACAAUGAACUUUUAUUUAUUUUAUUUUAAUAUUUAGUUUUAUCUUUAUUUGUUUGAUUAAUACUACAUCAUAUAUAUGUCAUAUCAUAUUUAAGGAGUAUUUAAUUUUUAUCAUCAAUGUUCAGCAGUAUGUCUAUCCCUUAUUGACUACUAUUAAUUAUUUUUGAUGCUUUUAUAUACUUGUGGGUUUCACUGGUAACAUUAAAGCGCAUGUGCUAAAAAUUUGAUAUAAUGUUGAUACUGCUGUCUUUUAUGACUUCGUAGCUUUAAAAAUAAAACUAUAUCAAUAUUGUUUAUAUGCUCUUUUCCCCCUUAUCAUUUCUAUCAACAACUGGAUCCAAUAAAAAAUAUCACACAAAAUAUUAGUUUGUAAAAUUUGACUUUCCACAUUCACAUUGUUAUUUUUAUAUUAUUUACUCUUCCACAUUAACAUUUUUAUUCAGUAGUAUAUACGAUAUAUAAAGAGGUUCCAGCUGGAGUUUCCGCCAUAGGUUCGAUUCUUCUCGACCAUCCAUAGAUGUUUUAAAUGGCAAAAAAAUCCGGAUUUUAUGGGCUUUUUGGUGAUUAUUCUUUGGGCCUAGAAAACCUUUGGGAUUAUACCAAGAUUAUCAAAAAAAAUAUAUACGAUAUAUAUAUAUAUAUAUAUAUAUCACAUUCAUACUGUGUUAUUGAGUUACUAUUCUACGUCAAAACUACUAUACGGCCAUAUACGUUCAUACCCUAUCUUUAUCUUAAAGCCAUCUCUAAUCAUCUCCAAAAGACACCGUUUUCAAAAUCGUGUCUUAUUUUUAGAAGAAAAAAAAAUUGCCACGUUGCAGAAGAGUUGUAUUUAUUCUACUUUAAUGUCUUUUUUCUACUUAAAUAUUGUCAGCACAAGAAUUGAUUAGUUUAUUUGUGAUAAAUACAACACCUCCCAAGCAGAAAAAAGUCACUCACACAAACACCUCGAGCUCUCUCUACCAUACAAACCAAAAUAUAUUCGGUGGUUCAAUCUUCAGUACCCGACGCCGGCGGAAAGAUUAUGGCGGGACAGUCGCGAAAAUGGAUGAUUCUGGUGGCAACGAUUUGGAUUCAGGCUUUUACCGGGACCAACUUCGAUUUCUCGGCUUACUCUUCAGAUUUGAAGUCGGUUUUGAAGAUUUCGCAGGUGCAGCUUAACUACCUCGCCGUGGCUUCUGAUCUCGGGAAGGUGUUCGGGUGGUCGUCGGGGCUUGCGCUGAUGUACUUCCCGCUUUGGACGGUGCUUUUCGCUGCGGCGUCUAUGGGAUUCGUCGGUUACGGAGUACAGUGGCUUGUCAUCACUAACUUCAUUUCUCUGCCUUAUAUUAUGGUAACUUCACUAUUCUUUUACUUUUUCUUUUUGAUGAAACUGUUUUCUAUUCAUUUUUAAAAUAUUGUGUUUCUUGUUGUUGUUGGCAACCACCUAGCAACCACAACUUUAUAAAUAAUAAUAUAUAAAAAGUUAAAAAGAAAAUCAUGAUUCGGCAUAAUUCUUUAUUAUUUAAUGUUCAUUAUUCAUAGAGAACUCGUGAAGAAUGAAAUAGAAAGGUAGAGAUUUGUAUAAACUAGAAAUUGUCUUCAUUGUUGAUAAAUGAAAUAAAUUCCCAACAAUUUGAUGUCAUUCUUCAUUCGUAACUCAAAAAACGAAGAGUUAUAUUAUGUCAGCUUUACUCGUCUCUACUUUUUGUUUUGAUGAAAUUGUGGGUUUAAAAAAAAAAUUUCUUAUCCACUACUCUCUUUUUCUUAUGGAACACUUCUUAUCACUACUCUUUUGUUGAGAAUCACUACUAAAUGAAAAACAUGAAAAACUUGUGAAGACACAAAAUAAAUGUGCAGAGAAUGUAAUAGUCUACAAAAAUUAUCUCCGUUGUUGUUUGCUGAGAAACUGAAAUAUAAUAUAGCGCUUCAUAGUUAAAGGACAAUUCUUAUAAAUAGAUCAUUUUCAAAUUUUGGUCACAAAAAUAUACCACAAGGAAGAACAUGACCAAAAUGUUUCAUUUAAUAAGUAAAAGGACACUAAUAUCCUAAAUAUAUACAAAAAUUAAAAAAGUAAAAAAAAUAUAUAUAUAUAUAUAUAUUUUUUAUAGUUUUAGAUUAUAUGUUUUCAAAAUUUAUAAAAAAGUUAAAAUUCGAACUUUUUUAUAAAUUUUUCUUUUUUUGAAUUUUUUUUCAAAUUUUCUUUUUUUAAUUCGAAAAUACUUUUUGAAACUAUUUUUAAAAUUUUUGUUUUCAAAUUUUUUUAUAUGUUUUUUUAAUAUUUUUGUUUAAUAUUUAAUAUUUAUUAAUAUUUAAUAUUUAAUAUUUAAUAUUUAAUAUUUAAUAUUUAAUAUUUAAUAUUUAAUAUUUAAUAUUUAAUAUUUAAUAUUUAAUAUUUAAUAUUUAAUAUUUAAUAUUUAAUAUUUAAUAUUUAAUAUUUAAUAUUUUUGUUUUCAAAUUUUUAUAAAAUUUUAAACCUCAAACUCAAAUCUUCACUCUUUAAUUCUAAACCCUAAGGUUUGGAUUAGUUAACCCUAGGGAUAUAAAUGUAUAUUUACUUCUUUAAUGAAACAUUUUGGUCAUUUUAAUUCUUAAAUGUACAAGUAUAUGAUUUAUUUUGUAAAAUUAUUAAAUAUGAUAUGAUAAAAGUUAUCAAACUGCAAUAUUUUCAUGGGGAAAUAGUUUUAUUUCAUAUCAUGCAAAUUAUAUUUGAAGUAUAAGACAUAGUUCUUUCUAAUCAUAAGUAGUUUUAUGUGGAAAGUUUAAUGAAUUUUCUAUUUCUUUGAAAUGACUUUCAUGUUGGUUGUUAUAUCUUAGAGUUAUUCAUAUGUUCAUACAUAUAAUUUUGUCACGAUUCACAAAUGAGACUAAACCAAAACUUUUCGAGUAACAAACUGGGUGACGAUUGAUUGGUAGAUAGGGAGUUCACAAUUGUUUCUUUUGUUUGUCGAUUUUUCAUAUCUUUUUUUUUCUUGGUAAAUACAUUAAUUUUUAGGAACUUCCAUAAAACUUGUUGGUCCAACAAGUCUUCUUCUUUGCAUGUUCGGGCUUGUCUCGUGGUUGAUGGCUAUUUCGAAAAUCUGCAACUAUUUUAUAAUUUAAAAUAUGACGUCAAAAAAUGAAUAUUUAUUAUCCUUUAUAUAAAAUUCUUAUUGUCUAAAUCAUAUAUAGAUAUGCAAAAAAUGGCCACCGGAUUUUUUAUUAAACGUCUUUUUCUGAUGAGUAAGCUGUUUGUGGUUGAGAAAAAUCAAUGAAAUAGAUAUACAAAUAUUAAAUGUGACGCUUUUAGAGUUAAAUGUUGUCUUUCUCAAACAGUCAAACUCAAUCAUUAUUGGGGUAAAAUAAUCAAAAACAAAAUUUGUAAAAUAAUCAAAUUUAGUAGUUAGAUUUUUUUAAUUUCUUGUCUCUGAAGAAACUUUGAUUAAUAUUGGCUCGUUACUAUACAGGUGUUUCUCUGUUGCUUACUUGCUGGUCUAAGUAUCUGUUGGUUCAACACAGUCUGCUUUGUGCUCUGCAUCAGCAACUUCCCUGCAAACAGAGCGCUUGCCCUUUCCCUCACAGUAAGCUUCAACGGUGUAAGCGCUGCCUUAUACACACUUGCUUACAACGCAAUCAACCCAACCUCUCCAGAGCUCUACCUCCUCUUAAACGCUCUCAUACCACUCGUUGUCUCCUUCACUGCAAUCAUCCCGAUCCUUCGCCAACCACCUUUCGAGCCUCUUCCACCAGAUGGAGUUCGCCGUGACUCUCUCAUGUUUCUACUGCUCAACAUUCUCGCCGCUCUAAACGGUGUUUAUCUCCUCCUCUUUGAGUCAAACUCCUCUGAUAUAACCUCUGCUCGUCUCCUCUUUGGUGGUGCAAUCAUCCUCUUGGUCCUCCCUUUAUGUAUCCCCGGUUUAGUCAUCGCCCGUAACUGGUAUCAUCGCACGAUCCACACAAGCUUCCGCCUCGAAGGUUCCGGUUUCAUUCUCGUUCAUCCUGAUGAGCUUGAGUUGCAUAAAGGGAUGGUUGCACAUGAAGCCAAUAGAGAAGGCUACCAAUUGCUAAACGACGACAUUGUGCAAAACCUUGUUAUUAAGACUACAGCUCCAGAGGAAGGUGACACUGAUGAGUCCUGUUGCAAGAAGCUUAUUACAAGAGGCCAGCUUGAGAUAUUGGGAACUGAACAUUCUUUGUCGCAGCUCUUACAUAGAGCUGACUUCUGGUUCUACUAUAUUGCGUACUUCUGCGGUGGAACCAUCGGACUUGUGUACAGCAACAACCUCGGACAGAUUGCUCAGUCUUUAGGACAAAGCUCAAAGACUACAACUCUUGUCACACUUUAUUCUUCCUUCUCAUUCUUUGGAAGAUUACUCUCGGCAACACCGGACUAUAUCCGAGCGUAAGUGCAUUUGAUCCAUAUUAAUUUAUCGUAUUUAUUAAUUUAUCAAAUAUUAAUUUAUAGAGUUUAUAGUUUGGUUUAGCGGGUUUUGAUUUGGUUUAAGUUGUACAGGAAGGUUUAUUUUGCAAGAACCGGAUGGUUAGCAAUCGCGCUUUUGCCAACACCAAUCGCGCUUUUCUUGCUCGCAUCAUCAGGAACCGCGUCAGCGUUACAAGCGGGAACAGCUCUGAUUGGUCUAAGCUCAGGAUUCAUAUUCGCAGCAGCUGUUUCGAUCACAUCAGAGCUCUUUGGACCAAACAGUGUUGGAGUUAACCACAACAUCUUGAUCACAAACAUACCGAUAGGAUCGUUGAUCUAUGGAUUCUUGGCUGCAUUGGUCUAUGACUCACAUGGUUCGACUGUGAUCAAAUCAAUGAAAGACUCCGUCGUGUGUAUGGGACGGGGUUGCUAUUACUUGACCUUUGUGUGGUGGGGAUGCUUGUCGGUUCUUGGACUCGCUUCUAGUCUUGUGUUGUUUAUUAGGACUAGAAGAGCUUAUCAACGGUUUGAACAAGCUCGGAUAAAUUCAAAUAUUGAUUCAUAGAAAUUUUACCUUCAUUCCCCAACGGCUUGUGUAUAUCACAGUACAUGUAGGGAUCUAUAUUUAACAGACGUAUUAAUGGACUGUUAUGGAUUUUGGCUGAUAAUAUUUUGUUGUCGCUGAUUUAUUUUAGUCUCAAAUUCUUAUAAUUGUUAAAUUAUCCUAUCAUUUCUACAAUAAUAUUAUUUAUUUUGUGAGAAUUUACGUUUGACAGCCCUACUUGCAAUUAAAUCAAUUUAUGCUCUUUCUUUUAUGGUGGUGGAAACCUUCCUGACUGAUAAAUUAAUACCGUUUUUUAAAAUACAGUUUUUAAUUAAUAUAUAAAAAAAUUAAAAAAAAAUAUUUUGCUCGAGAAAGCAAUGUAUUUGGAUGUGCAAUCUCUUGUAACCGUUAAUUCUGAAGUGAUUUUUAGUACCCCAUCAAUUAUGAAAUGAUUACAUUACUGAAGACUCACCUUUUCAUUACAGAUAUUAAUAUAUAUAUUAAAAUGUUGAUAAAUCAAAGAUACUCGAGUAAUUAAAACUAUACUUACUAAUUUAGGGGUAGAUACAAAACCUCUGAUCCUUAAUACAAAGAAAAAGCCUCUCGUAAGCUAAAGCCAUCUUACUCGCCGUAAACAUCUCCGCCGCAUACUCUUUACACUUCCUCCCUCUCUCCGCCAAUCUCUCCGCUCCUUCCGCCACCGCAACCUCCAUAACCGCCGUCAAAGCCUCCACAUUCGGCGCAAACAUAAACCCAAACUCAUCAUUCACCACAAUACUCCUCUUUAUGCUCGCAUACCUCGACGCCAUCACCGGUUUACCACUCAACAUCGCUUCCAUCAACGUCAAAUCAAGACCUUGUGGUCUAAGCGUUGGAUUCACAAACAAAUCGAUCCCGUUGUAGAAACCCUUGAGCUCAUUUGGGUUCAGAGAUCCCAAAAUAGUAACUUUCUCGCCAAGUUCCUUGUAACGGUUCUCCCAUGGUCCUGACCCAGCUACCACAAGGUGAACAUUUGAAUGUGUUUCGAUUAGUUUUGCGAAGGCUUCGUAGAGAAUCGGAUGUCCCUUGUCUUUCACCAAUCUCCCUGCGGCUCCUAAGACAAUAGCCGAUGAGUUUUCUUGUAACCCUAGUUUUGACCUAAACAGAGAACGUAGCUUCUUGUCUGAUUUGAACCCAUUUUCGUCGACUCCGUUGAGGAUCACAUGAACCCUUUUCUCCGGGAUUUGGUAAACGUCUCUCAGCAUUUCCCCGCAGCUAUCGCUGAUUGCGAUGUGAUGAGCGUAGUUGUGGAAGAAUCUGAUUUCAUCUAGUAUCUUGGGAAGCACGGCACCGUAUAGGCUUGCGUUGAAGCCUUGUGAUCUUGGUUCGCCUGGUUUACGGAUCAGGUCUUGGUAAAUGCUUGAUUGUAAGCUCUCUAGUGCAAUGCCGUGCCACGAGACAGCUAGGUUUGGAACCUCUCUGGCGAUCCAGUGCGGUAAAGCCACGCUUUCCGUGUGAACCACGUCAAACGGUUCUUUUUUGUUUUCUUCUUGGUAAAGCUCCCAUGCUUUGUUGUACCGCCAUUUUCCGGGCUCAGCAUCGCCGUGGGAAUGGAUUGUAGGGUUUAUGGUUUUGUCUGAAGCGGAAGUGAUUUUGUUGGUUUGAGGGGAAGGGUCUAAGGGAGAGGUGAAAACGUGGACGUGGUGUCCACGGCGGGCUAAAGCAGUGUAGAGAGUGAAGGCAUGGCGUUCCAUGCCACCGGGGUUGGGCCCGGUGGGCCAUUUUCUGGAGAAAACUGCGAGUCUUAGGGUUUUAGGAGGAGGGUUGGUUAAGGAGAAAGAAAGGCGGUUCCAUGCAAAUUGGGCUGUUUGGAGAUCGCCAGACCACGGUGGCUGGUUUGUGUCAGAAGAGGGGGAGACUGCGGCGGUUGUGGAGGAGGAGCAAGAAGAGGAGGUGCGGAGGAGAAAGAGAGCCGGGAUGGUGAAGAGGACGGUGAAGAAAAGGAAAGUGCAAAGGCUGAAAUGAGAGUUAGGUUUCUUGAGUUUGGUUUGUGAAGCCAUUGUUUGAUCUGGACAAUCUGAUGUUGUGUCUGCUUGUUCAACUAGAUGAUAGAUAAAAGGAAAAUUGUGAUUUCUCAUCUCUGAGAAAUUAAUGAUAAACUUACAAUAUAAGUAAAUGAUAAAGUGGAGAUGGUCCAUUAAAGUUAACUUCAAUUUUUAUAAGAUUUUAUUUUAGUGGUUUGGUAACGUCUAAAUAUGACCAAGAAAGAAACGUGAGGCUGAGGCUUCAAUCACUUCUGCGAGAUCACUUUAGUUGUACAUAUGGGAAAUGUUCAUGUGACUUGUUGCGUGACUUUUUUACACAUAAACAAUGUGAACACUCGUAAAUAUCAUGCAAAUAUUAAAAAUAGUAAUGGUAUGGUAUAUUGAGGAACUAAACAUCUAUAGUAUAUUAUAGGUCAAUGGCCUAAAAACAUUGGUAAGGUCCGAAGCAAAACUAUUUAGUUAGUGUGUUUGGCCUCCACUUUUUGACUUUUUGAUUGUGAUAGGUCAUUUUUCUAAUGCGGAUUUGUUGGUAUUUUACAACUCAAGCAUUUGACUUUCUUAACUUUUUAGACUAUACAUUUCGUUGUAUAGUAUCAAACAUGCAUAAAUUUAAUGCAUAUGCGGUGGCAAAUGAUCUGGUAAUGCCUUUGUAUUGGAGUAUUAAUUAUUUAACAUGCAAGAGUUAUUUCUGUAAUAAGUUUACAUUGGAACUUUACUUCAAGGCUCAAUGAAUCUUAUCACAAGUCAAACUUUAACUUUUACAUUUUCAAGAAUGCUUCCCAAGAAAAAAGAAACUGAUUUUGAUAUUGUUGUACUGAUGAAACUCUUUCUGGAGAAACCUAACUUGCACUACAGAGAUUCAGUUCCCCAUUCUUGACAACUGCUUAAGAUUAGCCACUUGAAACUACAAAAUUAUAUACAGUCUCUGUAGUUCACUAAAAAGAUGGAGCUAAGAUAAAUUUGUAACAUGAUUCUAUCUGAACCAAACCCUUGUAUGAAAUCAACUUUCUAUAAUUAGUUAUUUCCAGAUAUUAGACUUUAAUUUGCAGGCUCCAUGUAACAAAGAAGAGAACACUCCUAAUCAGCAAAACAGAUUUCUUCGUUUGUUCUUUUCCCGUUCAUUAGCUCUUCUUCUUGGACACAACAGUAAGUGCCGUCUUAACCAAUAUAUUAACCCUGAGCGAAACACAGAAUAUGAACCCUUUUAUAAAUAUUUUCUAUAUUUUUCAUCACUGCAUUUCUCUUAACUUGAACUCUACGACCUGAAACCAGUGUUUUAAAAACUGGACCGGACCGGACCGGCCGGUUGGACCAAAACCGGCCGGUCGGACCGUGACUCGGCCAUCUAUUUUGUUUCGUACUAAAAGCCGGAUUUGUGUUAUAUUAGCAAACCCGAUCAAAAACCGGUAAAACUCGCUAAAACUAAUGAUCAAGAUUGAUAUUAAAAUCCUAUUUUUUCAAAUUCAAGUAUUUUUUAAACUGCAAAUUUUAAAAAUAUUUCAAAAAAAAUUCAUAUUGUUUUCUAAGUAUCUAUCUAAAUAAAUUAUUUUCAUUAUUUAAAAAAAAAAUAUUUUUUCUUUCAUAUCAUUUUUAGAUUGUAAUAAUUAUAUAAAAUUUUAUAAAAAUAAUUUUAUGUUAUACAUAUAAUAGUUACUUAAUAUAAAAUUUAAUUAAAAUUUAAAACCCAGUUGGACCGGUCCGACCAUUGAUCUAGUUACAAUGCCAAAUCAACGUCUGGUCCGGUUUUCAAAACACUACCUGAAACAAAUAGAAAAAAAUAUUUCAAAACUAAUGGUGAAUGUACAAAUUUUUUAUUGUUUUGUCUUGUAAUAAAUAAAUUAGGUUUACUUAAUUAUGAGUCUUUUUGAUAAUUUAACAAAUUGAAACGGACCUUCAAAACAACACAAAAAAAAAUUGGACCCAUGGCAAAUGCCCAUGUUGCCAUGGGUAACAGCUUCAUCCAUAUCAUUUCAUGUAGAUCUCUUGAGGAAAAACCAAAUAUACUUUGUUUUCUUCUCAUCAGGUUUCUUUUAAAUACAUAUGAGCAAUACGACAUCGUAACACAAGACUCGAUUAUUAGAAAACAGACUAAAGAUAAUGAAACUCUCUUUCUCACUGAGAGUCUCCCACACUCGUUCAUUCUCUCUUAUCCACUUCGCUCGCCCACCUCGCCCAACUCAUAACAGUGCGCUUGUUCCCUUCUUGAUCGUCCUUGCCAGCAUACGAAAGCCAAAGGCACUGCUAACCUAUCAGAAUGGCGCGUGUCUGCACCUCGAAAACUGAUAAACGAGUCGUAUUUUCCGCCGGGAAGGAUCCACGGAGAGCAAAAGUAUCUCUAUGGUUAGAAACUGAACGAUAAGGUUUUGGAAUCGGUGGGUGAAAAUUGACUACGAACAGUAACUCUUUUGACUAUGAACAGUAAGUAUUCACAGUGGGGUAAUAUACACUAUGAAUCGCACUCAACUUGUUCCCACUUGAAAUUCGAAAACGCAGAAACGAUUCUCCGUCACAGAAAUGGACAGACUCCGCGCUCUCCGCCGUCAGGGAUUGCGCGAUUUCGAGCCGUCACUCCCGCCGCGAUUUAUGGAUAGAAUCCUCGACCGUAUGAAGAAAUCUUCGAGUCGGAGGGGGAUAAGCCGCCGCCGGCUAGAACGGUGUUCUAGUUCCUUCGCUGAAGAUCUCUCAGCCUCGACUUCUUCUUUCGCGACGUGCUCGAUGGAGUUACCCGAUAGGACUAGUUUCCGUCUCUUAGCAGGAGGCGGCGAUGGCGAAUUGGAUCGGAUUUACAAGUCCCUUGGCGUUUCUGGUCCCGACGAUUUGGCGAUUUCUUUUGACGCGUGGGAGGCUUGCAAGACGCGUUCCUCCUCUGGUAUUGUUAAUAGGUUUCAGCCUCAGGCCGAUGUUUUGAGUAGUGGUGUUGAUUCACUGGAUCGGGACGAUACUGGUGGUGUGGGCAGGUUCUUCAAGGAGCAUGCGAGUGAAAAAGCUAGUGAGAAAGAGCAUGGCGAGAUGAAUCUCAAGGAAGUUGAAACUCCUUUCCAGCCAAAACUAUCUGAGCAUUGCGUUACGGGGUCUGACCCUAUAUUAGUUAUUUAUUGUGGUGACAACCAGGUCUCCGAGGAGAUAUACCUCAUCAGCUACAUCUUCAACGAGUUGUGUGCCCGUGGCUUUGCCCCUUUGAGAUAUGAUAUGAAAAAGAGCACUGUGACUGAAAAUCAGAAACUGCUACACAUAUCACGGGUUGGUAUUAUCAUUUUCUCGAUGAACUUUGCUCAUUCCAGAGAGUGUCUGGAUGGAUUCGUGGCAGUCAUGGAUCAUUUGAAAGCUAACGAGCUUGUGCUUAUUCCUGUGUUUUUUAAAGUAAGUGUUUCAGACGUCAGGGGCCAAAGUGGCUCUUUUGGAAAAGCAUUCACACGACUUGGGGAUUCAGUCAUGGCCUCCCAAGUUCUGAAAUGGAGGGCGGCUAUGAUCAAAUUAGCUUCCAUCAUUGGAUAUGCGUAUAAGAAGGGGUAUAUUGCUUUCUCUUUUUUUUUGCAAUAUUUUUUAUAUUUGUAUGGUGUGGUAUAUGACUCUGAUUCUGAUGUUUUCUCUGUGCAGGGAUGAGGUUAUUCUGGCCAAGAAUAUUGUCAGAGAUGUCUGUUUGCCGCUCAGUUCCGAAACCAACAUGAAGCUAAGAGGAACGAGGCUUUCAUUAAAAAGUAUAUUGUCUCUGCUGAAUCGUUCUCAACCCUCAUCUUCACAGAUUGUUGGACUUUGGGGUAUGGCUGGCAUAGGGAAGACUACCAUCACGAGAGACUUUUUCAGAUCACAAGCUGAGCAAUAUGACGUGUGCUACUUUCUGCCUGACUUUCAUCUAUUGUGUCAAACAAAAGGGCUGAGUUAUUUGCGUGAUGAUUUCUUCUCGAAAAUAUUUGGCGCAGAGAAAGUUUUCGUAGACGCAUGUGAUACAAAACCAAGCGUCACAAGGGAUAGGUUCCUCGGUAAAAAGGUUCUGAUUGUUCUUGAUGGUGUGAGUAGUGCCAAAGAUGCAGAAGUUUUGGUUGGAGGGUUUGGCUGGUUUUCUGGUGGACAUACAAUCAUCUUAACAUCUAGGAAUAGGCAAGUUCUUGUACAGUGUAACGCCAAAGUGAUUUACGAGAUCGAGAAGCUACCCAAGCUUGAGUCUCUUCACCUUUGUUGCAAGUUUGCCAGUAAAGAAAAUUGUAAAGGAAGAAUGUCGUUGACAUCGGAGCUUGUGGACUACGCUAGUGGCAAUCCUUUGGCUCUGCGAGUCUUAGGUUUGUCUAUUCAAAAUCAAUCUAUGAAAGAUCAGAAACAACAUCUGAGAAGACUGCGUCAACAUCCUCCAGUCAAAAUUCUGAAUGCAUUUAAAAUAAGUUUUAAUGGACGAGAUGAUGACGAGAAGAGCAUAUUUUUGGACCUGGCUUGUUUUUUCAGAGGGGAGGAUAGAGAUCGUGUGGUGAAAAUCCUUGAUGGUUGCGGUUUUUCUACAGAUUUAGGAAUCUAUGGUCUCAUUGAUGAGUCUCUCAUCAGCCUUGUAGAUAACAAGAUAGAAAUGCCCAACAUUUUCCAAGACGCGGGUCGAUUUGUUGUUUGUCAAGAACACGAAGAGCCAGGCAACCGUAGCAGAUUGUGGGAUUCUAGUGACAUUGCUGGUGUCCUGAAAAAUAAUACAGUAAGUCUUUGAAAAUGUGUAAUGAUAUUCUAUUUAAACUUAAGAUUGAGGUUCCUUUCUUCUCUCAGAAAAAAACUGUUUGCCAUUUUUUUCAGGGAACAGAAGCAACUGAGGGAAUAUUUCUGGAUGCAUCUGGCUUGACAUUUGAUUUGAGCUCUACUGCAUUUGAGAGGAUGUAUAGACUUAGAUUGCUCAAGAUCCACUGUCCAACUUCUGUAAAUCAUUGCAAGGUUUGUCUACCUGAAGGCCUCCACUCUUUGCCUGAUGAGCUACGCCUACUCCACUGGGAAAAAUAUCCUCUUGGAUCGUUACCUCGGAACUUCAACCCUAAAAAUCUUGUAGAACUGAACAUGCCAUAUAGCAACUUGACAAAAGUAUGGAAAGGAACAAAGGUAUGUCUUGACAUUAUGGUACAAUCUGCUGCAUACAUGAAGUAGUUAGCAUUUACUUGAUGACUCAUCUUGUUUUUUUUGUGCUGUAAUCAGAAUCUUGAGAAGCUAAAGAGGAUCAUUCUGAGUCACUCUCAACAGUUGACUAAAUUCCCAAGGCUUUCAAAGGCCAGGAACCUUGAGCAUAUUGAUCUCGAAGGAUGUACGAGUCUGGUUAAGGUUAACUCAUCUAUUCUUCAUCAUCACAAGCUUACUUUCUUGAGUCUGAGAAACUGUUCUCGUUUGCGAGUUAUGCCUACCACGGUUCAUCUAAAAUCUCUUGAGGUUCUUAAUCUAUCUGGCUGCUCAGAGCUCGAGAACCUUCAGGAUUUCUCAUUAAACCUGAAAGAAAUAUAUCUAGCUGGGGCUGCUAUUAGAGAAAUUCCGUCGUCGAUUGGGGAUCUCACUAGACUUGUUACAUUAGAUCUGGAGAACUGUGAAAGUCUCCAGCACCUGCCACCGGGGAUAAGUAACUUGAAAGCCAUGAUGACACUUAAGCUGUCUGGCUGUUCAAAUCUGAAGAGCCUUCCAGUUCUUGAUGCAUUAUUUCUCCAAGAUUCACAACGUUCUAACACAAGGAUAACCAUGGAAGAAUCUGUGUCCAUAAACCUUCACUCUGCUAUUCAAGAAUCAAGGUUAGAUGGCUCUAAAACCCUUCUGAAGUUAGAUAAUUUGCAACUGAGAUCAGAUAUUCACGGUUCUUUUUUCAGCAGAGAAGCAUUCUUACCAGCAUUUGAAUAUCUAUCAAACAACGGAAUACCACAAGAAAGCUGGACACGGGUCACUGUUAUUCCGUUCCCCUCACCCAUUUUACACUCAUUGGCGUCUAGGCUAUAUGCGCUAGUAUCGUUGUUCCUUUGUAAUGCUUACCUGGUGGAUAUACCUGAAGAUAUAUGUUGGCUUGCUUCGGUGAUGAGACUAGAUCUUGGUGGAAACUCUUUCAGCCAGAUUCCUAAAAGCAUCAAGGAGUUUCGUAAACUACAUAGCCUUAAUUUGCGCCAUUGCAAAAACCUCAAAUCGCUACCUGAGCUUCCUAGAAGUCUAGUAACCUUGAACGCCCAUGGCUGCGUGUCUCUCAAAUCAUUUCCAACGAGUUUCGAGCAGUUCCCAAGGCACUUCACAUUCAGUAAUUGCUUUAAUCUGUCCCCAAAAGUGGUUAGAGAAUAUAUAGGAAAAGCUCUUGAUAGCGUUAAAGGCAUGGCCAAGGGGAUUCUGCAGGUAUCCUCUCUAUUUCAGUUUCUAUCUGUCUCUGCCUCUCUUUUUUCGUCUAUAUUUCCCUCACAUACGUUUUUAGACUCACAUUUCGCAUAUACAUAUGAUAUUUUUAGGCUUCACUGGAACAGGAACACAUCAACGAUCCUGCAUUCAACAUCUGUAUACCUGCCUCUGCAGGCCAGCAAUCCUCGGUUAAUUUUCAAGCUGGUUCUUCUGUAAGGAUACAGCUAGCUCCUGGCAUGUUAAAGACUCUCUCAGGCUUUGUUUUAUCAGUAGUAGUUGAAUUUUGGGAUAAUUAUAGCAACACUGCUGGUUUUGGCAUCAAGUGUAUAUGCAGGAAGAGCAGAAUAGACCUCUCGCCUAGAUUAGAGAGAAUUUUCCAUUGUUGGGCUCCAAAGGAACCUAUCACCGUUCAUCGGGAUCAUAUGUUUGUUUUUGGGAGUGUGAAAAUGCAUCAUGCAGAAGCUGUUAACCAUGAUUUCCUGUCUGAUUCAGUGACCUUUGAGUUCCAUCCUGUCAAUUCGGAGAACCAGCUCGUAGAUGAUAGCUGCACAGUGAAGAGAUGUGGAGUGUAUUUAAUCACCGAUGCGACAAGUAAUACGGCUCUAAGCGCAAAACGCCCUUCUUCUUCCAUGGAUCCAGGGGGGCUUUCUAGCAUGGAGCAUGUGGCACCGCCAUAUAAGAAAUGUCGAUUGAAGGGAGUUAUUGAAAUUGUUAUUCUAAGCUUAAGAAAAAGGAAGCGAGAACUGAGCGUCCCUACAGUCAAAAACGUUUCUACGGUAAAAUCCCUGUCCCUGAGAGUUCAUUGAGCCCUAUGGCCUCAUAUGGUGCCCCGUAAAGCUAGUAGUUGCAGUCUUGCAGACAUUGAUUUUUCCUUCCAUCAACCUCAUCAUACACUGAAACUGGUCCAAGGAACUUGAACCUGAUGUCUGUUUACGUAUUUUGGUGAUCUAUUUCCUUAUUCAAAUCCUUUCCAUCUAUUUUUCACAGGUAAGACGUCUGUGCAGAUCGUAUGUUCGCACUGGAAGCUGUGCAGUGGGUCCUAGUUGUUCUUUUGAUCAUCCGAACUGGGUGUUAACACACAAGACCGCAUCUUCCAUUCCUUCCGAGAGUCCACCCAUGGAUAUGCUAGGACUUUCUUCAUAUGGUAAGCCAUCAGAUAAGCGCGUGGAAACAUCAACUGAGAAACCCAAAAGACUCUCUGUGUCUGAGUCAAGACAAGCAACCUCUGGUAUAGACACCAUUGAUGCAGAGCAGGAAGAAGAGUAAGCUUUGUCUCAAAAAGAGUGUUAAGCUUUGAUGAUUGGUUAUGGAGAAUCAGAGUAAGUCAUUUUCAUUUAUGUCAACUCUCGAGCAUUAUUUUUAUUGCAGAGGUAAAUUAAUCUUACGCGAGGUUUUUGUAUUUAUACUGUCGAUAGGUAUAGGCGAAAUGUGAUAGCGCGCACUUAGUGCAAAACGGCAAGCUUCUUGCAUGGAUCCAGUGGAGCAUAUGGAAUCACCAUAUAAGAGAUGCCGAUUAAUGAGUGUUACUGGAACUGUCUUAAGAAAAGGAAACGAGAACAGAGUGUCUCUGGAGACAAACCGUUAUAAGUUAAAAUCUGAGUCUUCCAUUGACUUACAUAUAAGUAGGUAGCUUUCUGAUGCAAUUUUGAAGACGCUCAAAUUGAUUUAAUGCUGAUUUGUAUUACGUAUGGCUUCCGGCCCUUCGAUAACUGUUUUCACCAUUUGCUUCUUCCUCGAUUAACUGAUGGUUUUACGAAUAUGAAUGAUGAUUCCAUUUCCAGGCUAGCUUAAUUUUUGCAGGUUCAUCUUGGUCCAGUUUCUGCUCGCUUCGAACAUGAUCAUAACUACAGAAAUCUUGAGCAGAAUGAGGAAAAAGAGUUAGGCUGUCACAAGGUUUUAAGGACUGAGACCGAGUCCAACUCUUACCUAAAAGACUCACAGACCUCUAUCCGUAAACCUACUCUCAGUCAGCUGCUCGGGUUCAACAGGUUUCCAAGGCUCGAUCUUUUGAGAAGAUAGGGAACAAAAGAGUUUGGAGAUAGCGAUGGAUCCAAACCAAGACGCCCGGGCUUAUAUAGUCCAUGAAACAAAGACGGGUCUUAUACUCAUUAAGUCAUAGCAAAUGUGUAAGAUUUGAUGAUUGGUAAUGAAGAACCAGUAUUUAUACUAUUGAGAUUUACAAAACAGAAAUAGUUGACAGAUGUUCUAGGAAAAUUAUAUUUUGUCAUUAAAAUGAAACAAAUUCCAAAUAUCUAAGCAAAUAAUCGGAUCGUAUUAUGACAAUUAAUAACAUUUCUUUUUAAUAGAUGACGUGGAUAUCCGAUCCGCCGUAGAUUAAAUCUUCGCAGUGAACCCGCACUGCUCACCACCACCACCCCUCGGACCAUCAUCACACCGCGUCUCGACCCAGAGGGCUUCCUCAGUCCUCCACAACUCUCCCUUGCGUUCUUACUUCUCUCUCCAGAUCCAAACUCUCACCAUUCUCAUCACAAAGAGAACUACAAUCUCGAUUCACUCUCUCCCAAAUCUCUAAUCCGAUUUCGAGAUUCAAUCCUCCCCCAGAUCACCUUUUGUUUCGGUUCAUGAUUCUGAUUCCGUGAGAGACCUUAUGGAUUCGCACCCUUCCUUAAUCGGAAGGUCCAUCGGCAACAGCAACCGAUCCAGCGUAGAUCUCGGCCGUUCAACGCCUUCCUCUCCUUCCCCUUCAUCGCUAACCAAAUCGAUCUCCGAUGCAAGUAGCCAGAGCCUCUCUUCGAUCCUCAACAACCCGCACGGAGGCAAAUCCGGCGUCUACGGCUCCGACGCCUCCUGGGUUGGUUGGUGGUCAUCCUCAACCUCCGUAGCUCCCUCCGAGUUCGCUCCCGUUGCUUCGACCAAGCUCCCCGGGUCGGACCUCACCAGAUCCGACUUCCACGGAUACGUCUCCUCGAUCUCCGACUCUCACGCUAGGUUCGAGGAUAUCAUUAACCACGCCAAGGAAGAGAGCUCCGGGUUUGAUCAGGAGAGCCACGUGUCCGGUUUAGCUUCGUGUCUCCGUGAGGUUCCUUCGCUCUACUUCAAGGAGGAUUUCGCGUUGGAGGACGGAGCUACAUUUCGCUCUGCGUGUCCCUUUUCGACGUUGACGGAGAAUCUAGCGCUUCAGGAGAAGCUGUCGCAGUAUCUCGAUGUGGUGGAGCUGCAUCUUGUGAAGGAGAUCUCGGUGAGGUCUGAUUCGUUCUUUGAGGCGCAGGGGCAGUUGCAGGAUUUGAAUGUGAAGAUUGUUGAGGGGUGUAGUAGGAUCCGUGAGUUGAAAGAGACUAUUAGGCUUCUUGAUAGGAACUUGGUGGAUUCUGCUAGGCAGAUUCAGGAGCUGAGCUCGACUAGGAUUAAUAUGUUAGAGCUGCAGCGUAAAUUGAGGGUCAUUUUGUAUGUUAACCAAGCUCUCUCUGCACUCAAAUUGGUAAUUGUUCUCAGACUGAUUUGCUUAGAGUAGUGUCAAGUUAGCUACUUUUGAGUGUUUCCACUGUUUUCCUGAUAGAGGUUUGAUUCUUUAUUGUUCAGCUUGUUGCGUCCGCAGAUUGUGCUGGAGCGUUGGAUAUAACUGACGAUCUCCAGAACUUGUUGGUAAGUCAUCUGUGACUGAUGUGGGGGUACUGUUCGAUGGUUAGGAUUAUCUUUUGUAAGAUGCUAAAAUUCUUUUAUAUCCAUUUUAGGCUGGGGAUGAGCUAACUGGUCUACAUUGCUUCCGUCACCUUCGAGAUCAUGUCACUACUUCCAUAGAGUCCAUAAACAGGUGCGAAUAUGAUAAGUUAACUGACUAAAAUAGGCAUUGUUCAGUUUGACUGUACUGCUCUUUUAGGAGAAGCGCUAAAUUUUUUUGAGCUUUUGUUUGCCGGCAGUAAAAUGUUUCUUAUAUUCGUGGAUAGAAUGGAACACAAUGAGACCCAGUCGGAUUUCAUGUUAAUUGUGCCAAGUACCAUACCAAACCAGCCAAUCUAGUGAUUAUGUUUUUAGUUUUGUUGUUGAGCCUCUUGGAUUUUUAUCAGAUAGUAAGGCACUUCUGUGAUAUUCUUUGGCAGCUAGUUAUUCAUAGCAAAUAGUAUUUCUGUAACCUGCAAUGGUCACUGUUUCUUACUGUAAAUCAAUCAUUUCACGCGGCAGACAUUUUCUCCGUCUGAUGAUUAUGAAUACACCCAGGCUUGUAGGCAUUUGUAUCAAUUAAAUGUUUAGUAUACAGAUUUUCUUUAGUAGUGCUGCUUGGUAAAAGAUUUAGUAGUUCACUGUUUUAGUUCACCUUCUAUAUUUAACUAUCCUGUUUCUCUAGUACUGUCUUUUAUUUGUUUAUUUGGUCUAAUGUCUGAUGACUUGUUGAUUUUUUCUUUGUAGUAUUCUCACAGCUGAAUUUAUGCGUAUCUCAAUACACAAUACUGGGGAAAUUGAUGUACUGAUUUUAUCUGCUGCAAAAAAACGUGGAUCUAUAUCUUCUAACGGGGAGAUGAGUGAAGUAAGUCUCAUCCGAUACAGAUGCAUAUUUUUAAUGAAUUUGGGCGCUUUUUUGUACCAUGUGGAGCUUAAUUGUGGGUGUAAAAUUGAAUAAAUCUUUACCUGUGAGAAGCGGUAGAUUAAUCAGAAAAUAAGUGGAAGAAUAUCCAGCAUGACUCGUAAUAUUAAUCUUCCACCUUUGCAGGUUAAGCUAGAAGAAGAAGAUACGUCUACCUUAUGUGAUCGGCUUCUUCCUCUAGUAAUUGGAUUGCUACGAACGGUGAGUGGCCGUUCCUUUAUUUUUUUCAACACAUGCUAGCACUGAGGUUCACAAUGAUUUUAUUUUUUGUUUUAAUAUCUUCGUUAGUGCUAUCUCUGCUCAUUAUUGUUGGUUCGUAUUAACUGUUAAGUCUGAAAUAUGUUUCUCAUUUGUUUUUCUUUGAACUGUUUAUUGUAGGCAAAGUUCCCAUCAAUUUUGAGGAUGUAUCGUGAGGCACUGACAUCUGAAAUGAAAAACGCAAUCAAGAACGCAGUUGCUGAGCUGCUUCCAAUUCUUGUUGCAAGAUCGCUCGAAUCUGAUUUUUCACAUGGGGAGCGCUCAGUAGAUGUUGAUGGUGAGAUUAUAAUUAUUAUUACUAUGUAUUAAGAUUGUCAUGUGACUUAGUUUAUGUCUGAUACAUAGUUGAACACAAGUUUAGUACUUGAAAAUACUGUGUAUUUACAUAUGCUUGUUUUUUUUUGUCCUCUAACUUAGUAACUUGAUCUGAGACCCGGCAGGGACGUAGUAUACAUGGAAAUUAGUUAACUGAUGAAGAAUGUUGGCUGAAGAUUUAUUUUUAUCCUUCUCUUAGGAUAAUGUAUUUUAUUUCGCUGGUAGUUUGUCUCUCCGGAAUCUAUUCUUAUUCCUAGUGCGUAUACAGGUGGUGGAUUAUCUCUCGCGAGCAAGUUGAGGGCGCUGUCAUCUGAGGCAUUUGUUAAUCUCUUAACUGCUAUAUAUAGGAUUGUUCAGGUAAUAUAUGCAUCAAUUAUGAAAUAUUUUUUAUUUAAACAAGCAUUAUAGGAAGUACUACAUAUAUUCUGUUUAUGUUGCACCAUUGGCAGCAUCUUUAUUUUGACUCUGAUACAUAUACCUUAUUGAGGCUAAGAACGUUUCACCCCCCGAACAAAUUAGAUGAUUGGUUAAGAUGUAACAUGAUUUCAUUUCAUUUAGUGAAUGCAGGCACAUCUUGUUCGGGCUUCGGAAGUGAAAAAGGCAAUUGAAUGGAUCCUCUGCAAUAUCGAUGGACAUUAUGCAGCUGAUUCCGUUGCAGCUGCAAUUGCUGUUGGUGCUGUAGCGGCCGAAUCAAUCCAGGAAACAGGUUUCCAAGGCGAGCUGUCUUCUCCAUUGGGUAAGGCUACCUCAAAGGCUUCUCCAUUGCAGAGAAAAACAAGCGACACAUCAAGCUUGAUAAAUAUGUCAAGAAACUUCAGGUUUUCUGGUUUAUUUGUUUAUUUAUGUAUUCCAAAUUGUCGCAGUUGCCUGUAACACAAACCUUUGUUAUUCUUGAAACUAAAGUAGGUUUUCUAUUUCUCUUAUUUAUAUAGAGCCGAUGUCUUGAGAGAAAACACAGAAGCUGUCUUUGCGGCCUGUGAGGUUACUCAUGCUAGAUGGGCAAAGCUACUAGGAGUCCGUGCUCUUCUUCAUCCAAAAUUAAAAUUGCAGGAGUUUAUGAGCAUUUAUGAUCUCACCCAAGAAUUUAUAACAGCUACAGAAAAGGUGUUUGUUCAAAACUUUUCUUUCAUAAAAGAGAUAAGAAAUUGCAUUGCUAUUCUUGCCUGACAUUCUUAUGGAAAUUAUCAGAUUGGCGGACGGUUGGGAUCUAGUAUUCGUGGGACGCUGCAAUCACAAGCCAAAGCCUUUGUAGAUUCCCAGCAUGAAGCUCGGGUUAGUCUAUGUAUAUAUAUACCUUUAGAAGUUUUACAGAAAGGACAUCUACAUCUUUGUUUACUUCCAUGGCUUACAAAAAAAAGUGGGAGAAAAUAGUUACACUAAGAGCAAUAUGCCCAAAGCCAUCUCUAUACUUUGUGCAGCAGAAAAGUUAAACUUACAUUUAAUAACAGAGUAGUGUUGAGCUAUAUUGACUUCAUCCCAUAGAUCCAUAGUCCGUAAUUAUUUUACCACCUAACUUCUUUCAUUAUCAAGUGUUCUGGUCGUUAUUCUAAGUUUUAUCUUACUUUGUUGUAGAUGACAAAACUGAAAGCUGUCCUUGAUCAAGAAACAUGGGAUGAGAUGGAUGUUCCCGAAGAAUUCCAAUCCAUAAUCAGUUCUCUUUUCGCAUCCCAGGAGUUGAUUUCUAGGAAAGCUGAUGAUGCUGAUACUUUAACAUACCACCGAAACCCGCUCACUCCCAAUGGGUCGCUCCCUUCAGGAACUGAAGAUCAAAAUACUGAACUACGAAAUGAAAAUUCUGAAUCUAGUGAAGGUCCUGCAGUUAGUAAUGCACAAGUGAAAUCUACAGUUUCACCUGAAUCUCUUGAAAGAAGCAAGGCUGGUGUAUCUUCAGUUGCGAAAGCGCACGUAAAAUCUAACCUUUUCUAUCAAGGAGUUGGUUACCACAUGGUAAACUGGUUAGUUUUCCUGUUAUUCAGCGUUAUGUUACAUAUCCGUUUUCUCUAGUAAUUCGAAUGGCUGUUGAUCAAUGAAUAUUUCUCUCUAUAUAUAUUUGUACCGUCUGCUAGGUUUGAUUCCUUAAUGUUUAGGUUUAGCUGCUGUCCCGGCUGUUAAUUUUGCUUAUGCUGAUGCAAUUCCUUGAAUGUCUGCAGUGGGUUAAUAUUACUCAAGAUGUUGUCAGAAUACAUUGAUAUGAAUAAUUCUUUGCCAGCUUUGUCCUCGGAAGUUGUUCUUCGUGUUGUUGAAGUGCUGAGAUUUUUCAACACUAGGACAUGCCAACUUGUUCUGGGUGCUGGUGCUAUGCAGGUAAAAAUAUGCUUUAAAUGUAGAAAAUAGUAAUGGUAAUUGCUGAUUAGUUUUAUUGAGUUUUCUAACCAAUGAUCUGUGAUCUUUUGCGUAACCAAAUGUACACCUGACCUAUUUGUCUUUCGCAAUUGAACUUUUUGACAUAAAUUUUGGUUCUUGUUUACGCAAAACAGAUGUGAUCUGUAAUAUUGACCGUUUGAGUGGGAAUUUUCAUGCUAUAGGUUUCUGGUUUAAAGUCCAUAAAGGCAAAACACUUGGCACUUGCAAGUCAAGUAAUCGACUUCACUUACACUAUUAUUCCUGGUAGGUGAUAUUUUGUCAUUUCUUUCUAAUUGUUGCAGUUAUAAUGUGUGUUUAGCGGAGUUAAUAAUGUAUCGUUCUUUUUCUGGUCCUAGAAUCCAGAAGAAUUAUGUUUUCAAAAGUACCCGAGACGAGAAAGCCACUCUUGUCAGUAGAGAUUGAUAGAGUCGCUCAGGUAUGUUUUUCUCUUUGACUGCUGCCUCUUUUUUCGCUUAACUCUUACAGGUUCUAAGGUUUUAGAUGUCGUUGCACGCCUGAUAAGAAUGUAGUUGAAACAAAAUUCACACUAGUUAAUCAUCUCUAGGUGCCUAGAAUAUAAGUGUUAAGAUGGCGGUUUUAAUGUAUAUUUCCAUUAUUUCUGGUUUGUCGCCGAUUUUCAGGAUUAUAGGGUUCAUCGAGAUGAAAUAUACGCAAAACUGGUCCAGAUAAUGAGAGAAAGACUAUUGGCGCAUCUUCAUGGGUUGCCGAAAGUUGUUGAGAGCUGGAACAGACCGCCAGACACCAAUAAACAAACUAAAGAAUUUGCUUGGCCACUCACAAGGGUAUUUAUUCUCAUUCCCUAAUCUCAUAAAGAUAAUAAAUGUUUAAUGUGCAUAUAAUUUUACAGGAAGUUGGCUACCUUCAUCGGGUCUUAUCUGAGACAUUGCAUGAAGCAGAUGUUCAAGCAAUCUUCAGGUGAGCAUAUACGCAACUUCCACAGGAAAGACUAAGGAUGCAGAAAAUAGUACUUUGGACUAGAGCUGACGUAUUGUAGGAUAGUAGGCAACCAGUUGUUUAGAAUUAGAGUGGAGUCAAGUUAACAAAACAAGCAAUCUUGUGCUAAGGCACCUCAGAUUGGCAGAGAUCUCAAUAACUUUCAAAUAGUUACAUUUUAGGUCUAAAGAACUUAAAUUUAUGGCUACAGAGAUUUAAGUUUUCGAAAUUUUCUGUUUGUUGUCCUUGUUGCCAAGUGCCAACCAUGCGUCGAAUUACUUGCAGUGUUUCACUCGUCUUUUAGCUUUAUAGUAUAAGACAACAGAUUAUUGUUUCUUUCUUAUAAAUGCGUAAGGCAGGAAGUACUCUUGCAGGUCACUUAUUUUACAUUACACCUUAAGACAAUUUUCGUGGCUUUUGUAGGCAGGUGAUUUCAAUCAUCCACACACAAACUUCUCAAACGCUUUCCAACUUGGAAAUAAGCUCUCCAGAGGCAAAGAAAAGGUAAGCUUUAUAUCCUUCUUUUCUAAAAACUAAGCCAACUCAACUUCUGUGAUUAACAUGCGUCUGGUUAUAAUCAGGCUGAAGCUUCACGUUGAGCUGAUCCUCAAAUGCAUCCGAUCGUUACCAUCGGACAAUGCAAAUGAAUCAGGCAUCCCAAACUGGGGACAACUAGAUGAGUUCUUUGCACAACACUUCAAAGAGGAAGAAGAGGGACGCGAAGCUGAGUGAUGAAGGAUGGAUUAAAAAAAAAAGAAUUUUGGUAUGAGGAUGGAUUACUCUACUCGUCUUUGUAGAUUUAACUUACAGGUAAACAAAUUCCUUCUUUCUGCUGCCUCCAUCACGAAUGAACCACUCUGCAACCAAAAACAUUGAGUAGAAUACAAAAUAUGAUCUAUAAUGUGCUCAUCGGGUUUCAUCUUGUUUGAGGAUUUUGUUCAGCUACUGUAGAGUUAUGACGGGUUGAACCUCUGUAUCGUAACGAUCUCUGUUCUCGUUUGGAUUUUUCAGGUUUACCUCCAUGUUGCUUUUUUUUAUUAUCCUCUUUUAUUUUAUGCGAGUUGUAAGAGGUAAACGAGUGAGUGGACAAAAGUUUUUAAAAGAGGCAGUAGAUUUAGACGUAUAUAUUUCUUUCUUUUCAGUUGGAGAAACUUUUUAAUGUGAUUAUAUUCAGUGUAUUCAUUUUAAAUAAAGGAAGUUUGUUUUGAGGGUUGUUCCAAAUUGUAAUCACAUGUUAGAAAUGUUAAUAAAGAAAAACUGUUACAUGUAUUCAAUAGUAAUGGUUGAAGGCCGAGGUAUCAUAAAAGUCAUCUCCAAAACACAAACUCAUAUGUGACAGCAAUGAUUCAAGAGUCUUACAAAACUCACAAGUAGAAGUUAAUGUUCCAGUGGAUCAAAUGAAACAGCCUUACAAAGAAAAACCAAUUGAGAGAUGACAUGCAAGCAAAACCAAUCAAUGUAUAUAACCUGGUCGUGUUUCCACUCUAUUUCAGCACAAAGCAAAUCCAAACUGCAAUAAGGAAUCAUUCAAUUACUACUUUUGAACGACACCGUUUUGGAUUGCGCAGACCUCUCUCUCUCUCCCAUGGCCACCGUCGGGCUUCUUCGGUCUCUCCGCCGCCGAGAAGUCUACGUAGUUUCUGUCUCUUCGGCGUAUAGAUUCGUAUAGCCUUCCUCAUUGAGCUCUUUCUUUCAUUUACUGUUUAUCUUGAGAACUUGCGGUUGUUUGUAAUUGCGGAUUACUAAAGUUUCCGCCUUUUUAUUUUGCAGAGUUCUGCUAGCGCCGGCGGGAGGACGACGGAGCUCCGGUUACCCGGAGUCAAAGAUAUAAUCGCCGUUGCGUCUGGUAAAGGCGGAGUAGGAAAGUCUUCGACUGCUGGUACUACUACAAUGAGAUCUUCUUUCCUCUGUUUUGUAAUCAUUCCAUUCUCUCUUGAGUUUUUGGGGUGUGAGAUUUGAAUAAUUGAAAUUGGUUGUGUUGUAGUGAACUUAGCUGUUGCAUUGGCCAACAAGUGUGGACUGAAGAUUGGAUUGCUUGAUGCUGAUGUGUAUGGACCUUCUGUUCCUAUCAUGAUGAAUAUCAGUCAAAAGCCUCAAGUCAACCAAGGUAUAGAUUAACAGAUAGAUAGGUUCAUCUUGCAUUCUUGACUAGCGUUUUAAGUACUAUGUAUAUUUGAAGAUAUGAAGAUGAUUCCGGUGGAGAACUAUGGAGUUAAAUGCAUGUCAAUGGGACUCCUUGUAGACAAAGAUGCACCACUUGUGUGGAGAGGUCCUAUGGUCUGUGUUUCUUUGCAAAUACCCUUUGUAUAGUUUUUGCAACAUCAACAAAAUCUGAUGAGAGGUAUUGUUGUUACAGGUAAUGAGUGCUCUUGCUAAGAUGACAAGAGGAGUAGAUUGGGGAGAUCUCGAUGUUCUUGUUGUUGAUAUGCCACCUGGAACCGGUGAUGCUCAGAUUACCAUAUCCCAAAAUCUUAAACUCUCAGGUCUGUGUGUGU